rnacentral:lncRNA from 1 species
UGGGCAAGGUCCUCCUUUUAUACUUCAAGGGGAUACCACAUGCACCAUCUCUCUCUUUUGUGUGGGGACUUAUCCUAUCUUUCCUCCAACUUGACUUGCCUUCUCUUCAUAAAUGGACGGAGAUUUGUAUGGUUGCCGUCCGAAUGACCUUCUGAUGGGACGGCCCAUACCUACCUCCACUUCGGCCGGAAGCAGGCGCGACGUGGGAACAUGGCUGUCUGCUGACGACAUGACCAGUGUCAGACCGGUCACAAAUCGGUCAUUCUUGUCCACCACGCGUCAGUUUAGCAAUCUGCAUGUUCGCCCUUCUUCAUACAAUGUCUUGCUUGUAAUGGUUAGGAUGAAGCCUGGCAUAUAUCUGACCGGGACCAACGUGCCAUCUCCAGGAGGUAACACGCCGGCUCCGGCUAGGGACGAGUGCUUGGAGGCUCUCAUCCUGACGGGAUGGGGCGAGGCGUGUGUCAGACCGCCUGUCGCCACCUAACCCACGAUCUGAUCGGUCUGUGACUGGUCACAGACCGGAUAAACGAGCGCGCUGCACUGCGUUACAUGCGGCGUGACGCGCUCGUCCAAACCGUAAUAAAUGCGGUUAGGUGAGCCCUGCUGCGCUCACCUAACCCAUACACGCGGCGCAAAAUCUACAAGGGGUCGGGGCGCCUCAGCCCUCGGGGCCGAAACGGGAGCGGUCCGACCCCUCGGGGAGACAAAGAGGGGGGCGGCCACAUCACCCUCGGGCCCGACCCCCCCCCCCCCCGAGGGGGUCAGGCCUUGUGGGUGAUUGCUCCUGCCCAAGCCUCUAGUCAUGAUAUUCCCGGUCCUAUGUCACCGACAGCAUCCUAGUCAGAAAAAAAAUAAAAAAAUACAUGAGGCCCACAUGUCAGUUGCACAUCUUCUUCUCUUUCUUUUUUCUUCUCCUCAGUCAGUGAGGGGGAGGAGGAGGAGCACCUAGAGGGUGCGGCUGCCGACCUACGCGGCACGUCGACCUCCGCCUCGACUGCUGUGGAGGAGGUGGAGGACGCCACCGCGACCUACUCCGUGUUCCACAACGAGAUCACGGCGGCUGGGGACGCGCUCGUCGAUAUCCCCGCGGCGGAUUUCUUCUCCCUCGACGUGUCGGCGACAGUUGAAGACGAGCCGUAGCCGGCGAGCGCCGCUGCUUGGCUGCUGCGCGGACCCACCGCCCGCCCAUCGCUGCUUCACUCGCGCGGCCGCGCUCACUUGCUGCCGCCCGCCCGCCGCCCGCCCAUCGCCGCUCCGCCCGCACGGCCGCGCUCGCCUGCCGCUGCUCAUUUGCCCGCCGCCCGCCCAUCACCGCUCCGCCCGCGCGGCCGCGCUCGCCCGCCGCCCACCCAUCGCCACUCCACUCGCCGGCCUCACUCGAAGAAGAAGAGAAAGAGAAGAGAGAAAAGAGAAGAGGAGGAGAAGAAAAGAAAAUAAAAAAGACGUGCCACUGACAUGUGGCCCCCCACGUACUAAAUUUUUUUGGCUGACUAGGAUGCCACGUCUGCGAAACCACCCACAUAUACUGUCAUGGGACCUCCUUUGAACAGUUUGCGUGAGUUUAGGGGUAUACAUUUCUGGUUUUGUGGUUAAGGGACCUCAAAAAAUCUCGCUGUUAAGUUGAGGGACCUCCGGUGAACUUAUUCCUUUAUGCAAUGUUUGUCUUAUGGACCAAAGCCCAUUGGACUGGCACUAUAUUAUGGGCCAAAUUCACAAGUCUAAGGCCCAACUUGGCAGUGCCACAAUGGGCCUUAAGUGUGGGCAGAUACCUACAUUGAUUCACUCAGAAAUCACAUUAUGCACUCAGCUAAUCAGCUUUGGGGAUUUGUUUACGCAGUCACAAAAAUGUGGAUUAUCAAAGGUAACCAGUUCAACGUACAUCCAGGACCAGGAAUCUCUGUCUAUGUCAGCUGGGUACACAGCAAUUAGGUUUCGCACACCGAACAUUGUGGUGCCAAUGUGCUGCCUACACAGAAAAGGCUGACACAUUGCUCAUGCCUCUAGUUUGAUGCUAGAUCUCUCAAGAGAAUGCACUUACUGUACAAUGAUGGAGUUGCUUCCAUCAGAAAGGAGUGAGAGAGAUAGAUGUGUUGACGAAGUUGGCGUGUCAGUUAAACCUUACAUGCAAGUGAGAUGGGCCAAGUACCACCACACUACUGUUUGGUGGGAAACUGGAGCCGGUGAGCGGCAUAGAUGCACAGUGUCAGUGUCAGUGUUUGAGUUGUUCACGGAACGACAGGACCAGCACACAACGGAUGGUGCCUGAAUGGUCCUGUGUCGUCUGUCUUCACGCUCCUCCCUUGUAGCGAAAGUUCUUGAUUCACUUGACACCCUCAAAUCUCGAGUACUCUCAACCCAUUGCCAGUUUGCCAGUAUGUGCUAGUGCUCCUAGUACACAGGAGAAGUAAAAAAUCAUCAGUUCUCAUCACUACUAUGGUUCGGUGCAUCAAGGAAAAAUAACAGAUCAGGUUGGAGUAAUAGCAGUUAUCAGGGAAAAAAAAGGAGUAAUAGUACCGUGGUCCGGCCAAAUAUAAAUAUGGAGUAGAAUAUACGACAUGAUUGACCGCCGAAUAUAGGCUUUUAUUCGGUUCAUGUACCCAGCGACCAGCGUGCAUUGAACCAGCCAUGUACUCACAGAGAAGAUCAAGAUCCUGAUAUUUUCGUUAGAAAAUUGGAUAAGAGGGGUCCUAAACAACCUUAGAACGCCACGUGCCAUAAGCUUGUGACUAUUCCGAAAUUUCCGUGGUAAUUGGUGAACACUCCACAUGCUCAGGAUCCAUAAAGAAAAACGCUCCAUAUGCAUAAAAAAAGAUUGGUGAACUCUUGUACUCGUCACUGUCCAUGAAUCUGAUGCCUACUAUUGCAGCUAGCAAUAGAAAUGGCACGUGUUAGGCCGUCCAGUUCAGCUUUUUUGUCAAACCAUCUAGAAUGAAAUCCAACAUAUCAACAACAAAUAUGCACUGCGAAGCUGAGCAUGACCAAUUCUUAGGCCAUAUGCUUGACAAGAAGAGAAGUACCGAAAAUGUUUUUAUUUGUGUUGGAAAUUGGCACAAAACAUAUCUUAAUAAUGAAUACCAUGGGUUAAACUACCUAGUUUAUCUAUAUAUAACACAAAGAUCUUUAUGGGUACGAAUAAUACCACAAGGUACUUUUAUAAAAAACCAGAAACAUGAAGGGGAAUCAACAAAGUUUGUUUAGGAAUGAAAUUGUCACGUUUAUGUGUUCUUCUUCACUUCACCACGCUUGUUGUGUGCCAUGGCUUGUCUCAUCCAUCUUCGGUAUCUAUUGCGCUCCUACGAUCCUAUCUCUAUUGUGUGGAACCGUAUUUACGCUCUAUCUACCGGAGUGAGCACCUAAACGGAGAGCUCCUCAGAAUGCUCCCCAAGUGCAACCAUGCAUUCCACACUCCCACACUAUGCCACACAAACAAAAAAAAACAAUCAUCCGCGGUUUGAUGCCAACCAUGAAGAUUGGAGAGCCUGUCCCAAUAUUGCUCACAUGGACAUGGGUAUUUCAAUAAUCUUAGCAAACACAUAUGCGAGGUUAAGUAACGAACCUCAAAGUUUGUGGUGUUUUUGGAAGAAAUGUUGCUAUCCUUGAUGUUGAGUGGAGUUGGAAAUUUUCAGUGGUACUAUUUGGUAAUGAAAUAUUUUUGUGGUGUUCGUAGAAUUUUUCCAAGAUUAAAACAGAAGUUGUGGAAGGUUAGACGGUGCAAGCCUAGCCAAUUCUAUUGGUAAGUUCAAUGGAGAAAUACUCCAUCGGUCAAAAUGUUUUCAUCAAGAUGCUAUUGACCUUACUUGGGUAAAAGGGGGAGAAAAUCCAAUAGUUUUUCAUGUGCAAGUUUUUCAAACUACUAAAUGGUGUAUUUCUUUAAAAAAAACAAUUGGAAAAUUACUUUAAAAAAUUACAUUAAUUCAUUCUCAAGUUUCAAAUAGCUAAUACUCAAUUAAUUUUACUCUAAUGUUCACCUCGUUCUACGUAUUUGCUCAAUCUUUUUCUUUUUCCUGCUCUUAAACACAUCCUAAAUUUUUGUGGUUGUAGUAGUGAAGUGAGCAACAACAAAAAUCAGCUCAGCCGAGCAAGCCCUUAAUAUAUUAGUUUAUGCAAACCGUACUUUAUUCACCCUAUAAAUGGAUUAUAUUUUAUCAUUCACCUUAGUAACAAAAACUAAAAUUCAAUUUUCACCUUUUUUAAAAAAAUAAGCGGUCCAUGACUUGCGUGCACCCUAAAAUUGUCUCCGCUAAUAAUAUUACCACACGAGAAAUUUGUUGUUAUACAUUUGUGAACAUCCUUACUUCUUCACCAAUCUUUUAAAUAAAAAUGUGAGUCUUACGUAAGAGCAAUUGAUAUUAUUCGAUUUCAAUGUUUUUUCAUCAUGUUUUUUUCAUUAUUUAUUUACAAUUCGCUAAAAUACAUAUAUAAAAAUUUUACUUAUAAAUUACUCUUAGGUUGCACCGUUCAUUUUUCAUAGCUUAUGAGCCAUUACUUUGCUUAAUAUCCUUUCCUUUAAGCAAUAUCAGCUGUCGUGUGUCGCUUUUGAUAAGCACAUAUCACACAAAUGGCAUUCUGGGAUGUCAACCACAAAUCAGUAUUACACCGGUGUACACGCCUCUCGUGCCUAACCAAAGUAAACGCCAAUCGCUGUACACCGUACAUGCACACACACGGCAUAUACGCGGUACACACACAUGCAGGCGCUUGUCAACCAGACAACCUUGCUCUGCCUACGUACGUACGUGCAGCGCCUCACCAACAACCCACGAGAGAUUUGAGAGGGCAAACCGAACCAAAACCAAAAGGAGGGAAAGCUACGUGCGCCCGGCCGCGCGCGAGCGCGUACGUGCAUAUUGUGGCUCUCGCUCGUACGUGCGCGCCACACGUUGGCAUCGGCAACAAAAGCGGUUCGGACGGACUCGCGCGCAGGUCAACGAAUCCGAUUCCUAAGAGCAAGUUUAAUAGUAUAGCCCACUAUAAGCUCCAAUUCAUCUAUAACCAAUCUAAUAGCCAAUUCAUACAAUAAUUGCUUAAUAUACUAUUAAUAUAUGGUCUCAUCUGUCAUAUACACACUGCGCCUUGGAGUCUAUGCUGCAGCUGGCUACAGAUCUGUAGCCCGCUCCUCUUCUCUCUCAUCUUUUAUCUCAUUAAAAUAUGUUUAUAGUCUGCUAUUGUAUCUGCUCUAACACCACACCACACACACAGGCACAAGCUUGUGUAGAAGUCGCUGUAGCCGAGCCGGGCCUUUUCUGUGCGCUCACGCGCUGCUCGUGCUGUCUGUCGCCUGAAUGCAAAUGUCAAAGGUAGGGGGGAACGAAUUGAAGGAAAAGCCUUUUUCUACGCCUCGUGGUCUCGAAUAUUUUUGUCUAGCAAUAAUACAACCAGCAGACUGAUUCCGGCCAGAAUUUGGAGAAUUUAAAGUACAAAUAUUGAGUUGAUUAGUUAAUUAGGCAAAAGGUUUGUUUUGGAGAAAACUUUUACUCACCGGCGAAGAAAGUUUCAUUACAGAGUAGAAUAUUGUUAGCUUAUGGGAAAGCGUAGGAUGAUGAAGCUUCAUUACAGCUGGUAGGAAACAUAGACAAAUGAAAUCUGGAUUAACAAAUUAAGUUGGGUGCACGAUUAGGUUUGACAUGCUUUGUUUAACUUGCACAUGAUGAUUCCUACCAGUUUAAUAGGGAUGAAGCCGAUGGAGUCAACGGAUGAUAUCUCAUCCAAAGUUUUUAUAGUUGUGAGAAAGUCUUAAUCCUCUUCCGUAAUAUCGUAAGGAAUUUCCAACAAAGCCGGGGUAAGACGUGUGUGAACGGAUGCAAAGUUGACUCUCUGUUAUUCUACUAUAUAUGCGAAUAUUUUAAUAGUUGGAUAUGUUUAUUCUGCAUUUAAUAAUUGGAUAUAUUAGCAACUAACAAAGUUGAGCUCCAAAUCCUAGGCUAAACAUUAAAUAUUUUAGUUUUUAUUUAUAAAUAUAUGUUUAUAUAUGUAUACAUUUCUAUAGUACUAUUUUCCAAUUUAAAUAACAUAGUAUGUCUCUCCUAAUCCCCUUAUGUAUUAUUGCAUUGUUGGACCUGAUACUUUCUCGUGACAUUCUGGAGGUAUCACAGUAAUUUUACCUUAAAAUUCAUCUAUUCUUUGACUCCGAUAAAUAUUUAUAUCUGUGGAUAGAGAAUUUACUACACAGAAGUAAGAUGACCUAAAAUAUGAUUUUUUUUCCUUAUUUCCGUUGCUACUCUACAGAAGUCUACAACUUCUACGCACAUUAUACAAUCCUUAUUUCGAAAUUUGAUAUGCAUGCGCUAAAAUCUGAAUCCUGUUAACUGGCAAUAUUCGUUCUUCGGGCCGUUUUGGUUUGAUACCAAAAACAUACCCUACCAAUUUAUUGGCAAAUUGAAUAGUAUGUGUGUUAUUUUGGAUUGAAGCCAAAUAUUUGGUAGUGCCCUUAUACUAUUUGGUCAUUUUCUAGAAGUUUCUUCACUGUACUAUGAGAAUUUGACUUUAUAUUGGUAGCAAUCCAAAUGGUAGCAAAAUAAUUUUACCCUACCAAUAUUUUGGUAGUGCCAAAGUUUGCCUAGACUUUAGCACUACCAAUAAAUUGGUAGGGUAGAGAACCAAACAAGCCCUUCAGGUCCACGACCCGUUUAAGCAGAAAGCCAAAGCGGAAAAGCAAUCGCUACCUCGGAGCUAACGCCUCGUUUACCUCUUCAAACACCCGGAGGGCCCACCUCUCAACGGUCAAACACCGCGAAUCGGACGGACCAGCUUACCACCAUAUUUGUCCGGGCCCCAUGCAAGGCAGACGAGAAAAACGAGAAAAAGACGAGUUGCUUGCUCGGUUGCUGCGAUGACUUCUUCACAUCGUUGAGUAUUUUUAGCCCCUCUCUCUCUCUAUUCUUUCUAGAAAGAGGAGUAUUGCUUUUGCUAGCGUAGUAUACCCGGCUUCCUCAACCCCAACUUGUGUCUCGAAUUGAAAUGAUGCAGACCAUCAGGAUGAAAUCUCAAGGCGGCAAAAUCUUUUGAGUUAAUUUGUUCAAUACAAGCCCUGUACCUUUAUUUUCAUUGAUUUUUCAAUUAAAAAUAGAUUUUAGUUUGAUUUUCAUCAGAACACAGUUUUCAACUCAGAGGCUCUCUUCAGAAGAUGCCCCCACUCCCCCAGUUUCAUAUAAAAAACAUGUGGUGUAAACAACCAUUUAUCCUUUGCAUUUCAAGAAUGCAAAUUGAUGUAAAUUAUUUUAUGAAUAUUUAUUUUUGAAGAAGAAAUGUAUCUUCAAAUAUUUUUCCAUAUAUUGUUUCUUUUUCUUUUGUAAAUUGGCACAUUUUGCCCACCGGAGAAUUUGUUAGUGUGAAUACGUGCUGACGAAUUUAGUGUAAGAUGUACAAGCUGUGGAUUUUCAACUUUGCAUUUGAUAUUUGUUCCUACGUGAGAACGCACUGCGUUGGUAAAAGAUUAUAUAUUUAUUAAUUGAUAUAUCGAUUGUCAGCAACAUCUUGCAGAUAUCAAAAUGAGCCAUCUGGCCACUUGUCACGCUAUUAUAAAGAGGUUAAUAAAAGCACAUAGUAAUAAUUAUAUGCAAAACAGUUCAACUCCUGAUCCCCUCAGAUAUGCCAGCUCUCAGACAAUCCGUCAACGGGAUAAAAAAAGAGAAAGGAGGGAGGUGGCGAAAGUUCUCAAAGUAGGCGUGCCAAUGCCUCUAUCUGUUAUUCAAUGAAAAAUUAAAGAUGCAAUAUCUUCAAAGAUAUACUAAUAAGGAAUAAAUAAUGCUCCUUUUUAUCAUGCAUCACCUUUCUAAUUAAAAAAUAAAACACACUCAUUAUUAUUCCCAGAACCUCACCCCUCUCCAUAGUUGACUUCCAAGGCAAGACAGAUGAGAUAUGCAUUUGUUUCUCUCUCAGCUAGCAAUAAAGGCUUUAAAAAAUGAAUUUUCUUCUUAUCUCCAAAGUCCACUAUCUGAUGGCAAAAGAAAGAUGUCAUUGUCACACCCCCCAUACUGACUCUUUUACACAUAAGGCCUGGGAUUUCCUCAGUUUUUUUUUGUAUUGCAAUAAGAUUUUUUUUAAAAAAUAUAUAUUUUGAAACAGGAGCUUUUUUAUUCUCUGGAUGCCAUAUUUUUUACAGUUAAAAAAAACGCUCUGUCACUGUUCACUUUGUAUAAUUUGGCCUGAUAUCUACUACCACUACUACUACAGUUUGAAUUCAACAUGCAAGCAUAUAGAUUUGAGUUGCUUUUGUCUAUGCAGUUUGGUGAAGCUAUACUUUUUACAGAAAUUUUAGAGCUAUGUUUUGAAUGCACAGUUCCUAUAAAAAAUGUGCACUGGCGUAGUAUCACUUUGCCAAAGGGGACAUAUAUCACGAAUUCCGAUGGAAUCCAAGGUGCUUUGCGAAAAAAAGUCACAGCCCUCAUUGACUCGCAUCUUCUUCCACUUCUCCCCCAUUUCCACCUAUAAAGGCAGCCAUGGCUUCCAGCCACACACCUCCAUCCUCCCAACCCAAACCGAGCGCAGCGCACGGACCGAGAUCUGCGCCCGGCAGCGGCGGCGAACUCCGGUGAACCAACCAUGGCCGUGGACCUGAUGGGCUGCUACGCCCCGCGCCGCGCAGACGACCAGCUCGCCAUCCAGGAGGCGGCCACCGCCGGCCUCCGCAGCCUGGAGAUGCUCGUGUCGUCCCUCUCCUCCUCCUCUCAGGCCGCCGGGGCUCACAAGGCCUCGCCGCAGCAGCAGCCGUUCGGCGAGAUCGCCGACCAGGCCGUCUCCAAGUUCCGCAAGGUCAUCUCCAUCCUCGACCGCACCGGCCACGCCCGCUUCCGCCGCGGCCCGGUCGAGUCGUCUGCUCCCGCCGCCCCCGUCGCUGCUGCUCCCCCUCCUCCUCCUCCACCACCGGCGCCGGUCGCUGCCGCCCUCGCGCCGACCUCCUCGCAGCCGCAGACCCUGACGCUGGACUUCACGAAGCCGAACCUGACCAUGUCGGCCGCGACGUCCGUGACAUCCACGUCGUUCUUCUCGUCGGUGACGGCCGGCGAGGGAAGCGUUUCCAAGGGCCGGAGCCUGCUCUCCUCCGGCAAGCCGCCGCUGUCUGGGCACAAGCGGAAGCCCUGCGCCGGCGGCCACUCCGAGGCCACCGCCAACGGCGGCCGCUGCCACUGCUCCAAGAGAAGGUAAACAAACUCCCACGCCACUUCACUUCUCGAACGCCUCGAGCAACAAUUUCCUCUCUAUUUCGUGUCACCUUCUCACGGUGGAUUGGAUUCCGUGUGCUUCCGCAGGAAGAACCGGGUGAAGAGGACGAUCCGAGUGCCGGCAAUCAGCUCGAAGAUCGCCGACAUCCCGCCGGACGAAUACUCGUGGAGGAAGUACGGCCAGAAACCCAUCAAGGGCUCCCCUUACCCACGGUAAAUCUCUUCCUCCUGCUUGAACACGAAAUUCUCCCAAGAAAUUCAUCGCGGUUUGCAACGAACCUGACGUGUUCUGCGAUUCGAUUUUCAGGGGCUACUACAAGUGCAGCACAGUGAGAGGAUGCCCCGCGCGGAAGCACGUGGAGCGCGCCACCGACGACCCGGCGAUGCUGGUCGUGACCUACGAGGGCGAGCACCGCCACACGCCGGGGCCCCUCCCGGCGCCACCCGCCGCCGCCGCCGUCGCCGCGAUGCCGGUGUCCGUCGCCGUGUCCACCGGCAACGGACAUGUCUAACCUAAUUAGCUCCAUAAUUUUUUUCUUCCUUUUUUUUUAGUUGCUUCUCAUCAAUCUAAUGAUGCGUGUAAAGAAGAAAAGAUUGUAGAAAGAGGACGAGGGAAACUUGAUGCUAGAGAAUUACCGUCUCCAGUUCGUUCUCAAAUCACAAUUAACCGUGAUAAAAAAAUCACAAUUAACUCCACUUAAUACUCUUUUACUCCUGCAAAUAAGCAACUAGUACGACGUUGCAGUGGAUUGAAGGCAAAGAGAGGCAGGAGUUGACAGGAGUUGACAGGAAACCGAUCUGUCGCCUCCGGUGUAAAUCCGCUCUUGACUUUCAGACCCCGAUUAGAUUACAUUUCUUAUCGUUUUACGCGCAUGAUCCGGGACUUGCCGGAGAAAUUUCUUCCGUCACCGAGCCGUAUACGACACAAAAGGAAAUUGAAGUCACCAACAACUAUCAGUACCAUAUCUUCUCGACCCGGUUAAUAACGACGGAUUACUUUGACUCCCAUUGAUUGAUUAAACCAUUAUCACAAAAAAAAACACACAAAAUGCAGAAGUGCCAGCCAACCACUCCAGCUAUAGACUAUUUAGCGUACAGAAAAGAUUAAGGAGUAGAGGAAGAAAAGAACAAGGAGUCAUACAUUGCGAUUAAACAAAUGGGCAAUAAUUCAUUCACUCAUCCCCCCUUUUGUCCGGUGGCGCUGCCCUGUGCAGAGGUCAAGGGGGGUGGGCACCCAAAUUUUGCGCCUCUCCUUUAUUCCGCGCCACCCCCCCUCUCUCUCUCUCUCCGACGGGUGGGCCCCACGUGAUUGGCUCCCGGUCAAAGAAGGUGACCGGUGAAGGGUCGCUUUCUCUCCGCUGCACCCCGUAGUUGACCGCACCUCAUCACUCACCCCAUAGAGUACUCCUCUUCUGCUUUUACUUUGAGAUUUUUUUUUCGGUUUCUGGCCUUAAAGUGGGGGGCGUGUGUGGGGCCCACUCGCCACUGAGAAAAAAAAAAGGUGGGGGCCCUCAGUGUUUUUAUUUUAAUUAUUUUUUCAACUCCUCGGUUGGCUCGCCCGCCUGCCUCUUUUGUUGUUGUUUGUGGAGGAGCCGAGCCGAGCCGAGCCGAGCAUUCAUCCGUUGACUUCCGAAGCCGUGCGGCGCGGCGGAGGUAGAGGAGAGUAGCUCACGUAGGAGAAUUCGCUUCUAGGCUACGCGUGGCUCAUGGGGUCUACGCUCUACAGUACCGUCGCGAGUGAUGGUAGGUUGGUUCAGUUCAUUCAACGUACUCUAGUGCUGUCUGAUGAUAUAGGGGACCAAACUUAAAAUGAAAAUAAAAACAAUUCUACUCUAGUGAUAACAGUAGUAACUUUGUAAUGCAAUGUUUCCAAAGUGUGCAGGUGCAAAUGAUAAAGAGAGACUAAUUGGGUAGCUCAUUUACUAGCUAAAUUAACCAUGAGUAUGAAUCCUGGACUUAUUGAACCAGUAAUGUAAUCCCAGUUUCUAUCAUUAAUAAAUUUCUCUCUUUACUGUCAGAAAAGAUGGUAACUCUGUAAUUCAUUAUCUAAGUAUAUUAAAGGCAGUAACUGCUAAUAUGCUCUUCUUACAAAAAAGUCCACUUGUAUCAAGAGAAAAACAAUAAUAAGAUUUCUCCAAGUCUCAGACAGCACAUUAUGUGCGUAAUUUGCACGGUUCAUGCUCCCUUUCACCUUUGGAGCACUUCGGCUGGAUCUGUGCUCAGCUCCACUAGCAUCGAUGCACACACAAUAAAAAUUGCAAGUUGUUUAUAGAAGCUGCCCCUCUACUCAAUUGGCAAUUUUACCUUUGCGCAUGCAUAUAUAGUGGCCAUUGAGUUACAUAUCCAAGACUACUGUCACAAGUCAAUGAAGCUAGAAUAUACAAAUAUUGUGAGGUCUUUGCCCUAGCAAGCAAUUGAGCUAUAGAUUGUAAAAAACAUUGCUGUUACUUUUAUUUGAAGCUAACUAGAGAACAUGGCCGGUGGAGGAGAAGGGAGAGUUGGACAGCUAGAACAUUCUUUGCAUCUACCCCACUUUUAGCCUAACCCAUUCUGAAAUCCCAUUUCUUUAGUCCUGGUAAUCCCUGUGUUGAGCUGAUCUACUAUAGUUCCCUUCCUCGAUCAGAUCAACCAAAGCAAGGCACAUUUCUCCCUCACUCUCACUCUCACACCCCUGGGUGAGCUGUCCUAGUGGACUUCCAUCAUGGGCUUGGUGUGACCUAAAGCUUAGCUAGAGUGUGUGAUGAGCUACUAGUGAUCAUCUUUUUUAAGUAUUGCAAGCUUAACAAGAUCUCAUGUAAGGAAGCAAUAUAGUAGUGGCAGUUAGGUUUGAUGCCACAUCUAUCUAUCAAUCAACCAAAACGUUAGUAGUACGUACGCUUUUUGUGGAGUUUGCAAUUGUAAUGUUCUGGCUUGUCUGGUCAUAGCUUUUGCUUGUGUCUGCAGUGUGGUGAGCCACUUUGCACUGUGGCUGACAUGUGAGUAGCAACUCAUCUGGUCCUUAAUCGCGUCAGUAUGUAGAUCGGGUGGUUUAUGCGCUCAUGGCACCAUAACUAAUGCAAACAAGAGAGAAUGGGGUGGGAAAGGGGGUGCUAUCUUCAUAGUGGAGAUGGAAUUGUUAAAAGUUGGGGGCAAGUAGAAUAUUUGGACUUUUGGUGGUCUUCUCUCAACCAAAGCUCACCAUCGAGAUGGCGUUAAUUAGUUAUUAUUACUUCGUAUUAGUACUACUAAUUGUCUAGAGGCCACAUGAUUUGACUAAUCACCACUGUUUUUGGUGCCUAGCACGGGUGACCUAUCUGCCCAACGACUUGUAAUUGGUCGUUUAUUUCCACGGGCCCGUGACGGAGUGCGAACGAUUGGACCAAAUCGAGGUGAUUUCCAUCCUAACACUAUUGUAUUACUAGUAGUUGUUUUGGAUCAUUUGGCAAGGGGGACAAAUCGCAUUUUAUUUCUCUUUUGGAGAUUAGUAGCAGUAGCGAAAGGGGUCAGCAGACAAGUCGCAUAGGAUGGUGCCCCACCUGGCGAACAAGUUGCACGUUGUUUAGUCUCUGCUGGCCAUGUUCUCUUUCGUGGAUUCGGAUCUCUCCGGCCUCGAGGUUUAGGUCAAACGGCACCGGUCGAGCCUGAGCCUGUUUUUUGUGUGACAGCAACUGCCCGAUUGACAAUGCAGCCAUCGGCGGAUGUCAAAGCAGGCGAGAAGAUGUGAACCCCGCGGUUUUCUUGACUGGUUCCAAGUGCCCUUGUUCCAAUUGAUACUUCUGAAUUGUUUAAUUUGAAACCAUCAAACGGUCCACGACCACGAGCGUGCCUCGUCCGUAGUAGCAGCGUUGAAGUAGGCAAGGUGAAAGAAGUACUGAAUCGUGUGUGUCUUUUCCGCUGUAGCAAGUGCCCGAGACGGGCCGAGGAGAAAACGUCAGUUCGACACAGCUGGUUGCCAAGACCAACACGGGUUUGGACGCCUCGGCAGUCGGCACCACGGCACAACGCGCUCGCAGCAGCGGGGGCGCGCGGCCGCGGGGAGAUUUUGUCGCGUGGUCCGCCGGUGUAGAGAGGGGGACGUGGGCCGCAAUGCGUGCGGUGGCGGGAUUGUGGCGGUCAGCCUGCUCGCUGGAGGGAGAGGAGGACAUGCGGCCUGGCGGGGAGGGGACGCGGGCCGUUGCGUGUAGCGUUGCCGGCCACGAGAUGGCUGCGCGCGGAAGGGUUAAAUUGGCCCAUAAUGAUGUGUUGCGCGUACUGGGCUAUAGACGACGCGCUGGGCAUAACAGCAUAAGGCCUGAGGUUCACCAAGCAGGCUGUGCUAGGCAGCAGAAAAGUGGCUGGGCUUCUCCAAUGAGCCUGAGAUUUUCCGGUCCAGUUGAUAACACGGCCCGUUGUAACACUAGAUUCACGGAUCGCAGUUCUAACAUUGGCCUUUUCACAUUACUGCUAAAAUGAACGUUUACAAAAUUUGGUAAUGCUGUUCUUUUUGUAAGUUGGUAAUAUUGUCAAAGUUUGAUAGAAUAGGCUGUCAAAAUUCUCUAAGCAUUACCAUUCCCAUCUGUUUGGUAACAUACUAAAUGCAUCCAAAUGUUUAUCAAUGUUUAUCCAAAUGUUAUUUUGAGUAUGGUUCAAAAUAACACUAAUCUGAACAUGCUUUUUUGAAAAAGUUAGAGAUUUACUUCAUCAGAUGGAAAACAUUACUACCAUCUCUGAUGCAUCAAAAUUUGGCACCUUAAAAACAUACCAUCUUGGACAGCUUGGACUUCUGUAAAUCUAUCUAUUUCAAUCCAAGAUUUCAACAAACUUGAGUAGAUCUAUGUCUGAUAACAUACAUAACUUAUGUUUCUCCCGUUUCUCCCGUAAACAAAACACCGUAAAUCUAUAUACUCCCAACGUCCCAAUAUAUCUGACAUUAUCUAGAUUUGUUAUAUUAUGAAAUGCCACAUUUGAUAUUAGGUACAUUUAUAUUAGGACGGAGGCCGUGCCACUCGUAAUACAUACCCAGUCGGCUAAGGCUCUCCACAGUUCAGUAAUUCAAGUUACGCACGAUAUGAACUUAUUCGAGAAAAAAUUGGGGAAAACAUACAGUAGAAUUUUGUAUCAGGAAACAGUAACAAAUUCACAACCAUGCUGUCCUUGCUUCCCCUUCGCUUGCCGUUCUCCGCAGCCGCGACGCAUCCAAACUCCACUUUCCUCCUCCAACGCGCCGUUAGGCUUCCCAUCCUCCCGAUCUCACCGCGAGCCAGCAUGAGCGCCACCGCCGCCACGCCGGAUUCCUCGGCUUCCGCCGCCGCCGCCGCCGUUGGCGGGGAAGUGGGGAAGGAGGCGGAGGAUGUGGUGGUGCAGUACGUGGUGCUUCGGCGCGACCUGGCGGACGCGUGGCCGCUGGGGAGCGUGGUGGCGCAGGGGUGCCACGCCGCCGUUGCCGCCGUGUGGGCGCACCGCGACCACCCGGACACUGCCGCCUACUGCGGGCCAGACAACCUCGACCGGAUGCACAAGGCGUGUUCGACGUUUUGCCUCACAGAAACUCAUCGCUCCUGUUUUCACACUCCCUCUAUUAAACUGCUGCAUUGCCUCUUGUUACAUAGGUGUAGAACUGACUGAUUAUAGUGAUUUAGAAUGCUAAAUGGCUAAAUGAUUCAUUCAUUACAGAGAGUACUGAUACUGUAACCUGUCCCAGUAGUUUCUUGCGAAGCCGGAUUCAACUCAUGCCUCUGGAAUAGUGUAAUUUUGACAAUUGAUUUUUGUUCCGGCUACAAGAUGUAUCCCGAGCGAAAAAACAACUGCACUAGUACCUACUACUUUUAUCCUGCAUCGUUUACAUUCUGUUAUAUGUGGCAUCAAUAGCUGUGCUGAGAGCCUUUUUUGUGUAUAGGUAACACUGGAGGUGAAAGGAGAGACACAACUGAAGAACCUGGCUGAGAAGCUGGAAACCGCUGGUGUCCGGCACAAGGUGUGGAUAGAGCAGCCAGAGAACAUACCAACUUGCAUAGCGACUGCGCCGUGCCCAAAGUCACAGGUUUCUUCAUUCUUCAAGAAGCUCAAGCUUUGUAAAUGAGCCACUAUUUAGGAUCCUCAAAAUUCAAAACUUUGCAAGCAAUCUGUCUUUUCAUUACUGGUUUUAUCGUCAAAGGUUGGCAUUAGAAGUCACACCAGAUACUGCAGCCAUGUACUGUCUAUACCUGUUCCAUUUUUGGAUUUAUUGAUCGUGCAUGUUUUUGCCAUGGGACCAUGGUGGCGGGUUGAUGAAGCAAUCAGUGAGAAAUUGACAUUUUUGUUCUGAGAUGACUUUGGGCCAUUCUUUGAUUAACAUAGAUGUGUCGAAUAGGUAGAAACUUAGAAUUGAUGAAAGCAACAUAUGAUUUCAGGCACACAUAUCGAUUGGAGACCCAUAUAUUCUUUAUCCACCAGUUAGUUGAAUAGUGCUGAAACAUGUUGCUUGGACGAUAGUUUGCAGGUCCUACUGAUAUUGCAGUUAUAUACAACGUUGUCCAAUCUGUGCAUCCCGUACAAACUGUAUAACACUGACGUUAGGAGGUCUUACAGAUAGGGGAGGUUUGGGCUCCUUUGGAACAAGGGAUUUUCAUUGGAAAUUUGUAGGAUUGAAACCCCAUAAGAAUUUUUUUUCCUAUAGUGCCCUUCGGUUUGAAGGAUUGGGCUAGAAAAUUUCCAUAGGAAUGUUUCCCUUCCUACACAUUUUUGAGGAUUUCUAACAUGAGCUCAAACCUCAUUGUUUUGAUUUCCUUUGAGAAGUCCAAUGCUCUACCUCUCUUCAAUUCUUCAUCUCUCCUCUUAACUUUGUUCUAAUGAAAUUUUUCCUAGAAAGUUCCUGUGGAGGAUCCAAGCGGUUCAUUUGACGAAUUCAUAUGUUUUCAAUUCCUGUAGAGUUGUAUAUGUCAUGACAUUAAAUUCCUGCAUUUUUGUUUUUCGAUCCCUGCAUUUUUCCUAUUGUUGUAAGCUAGAAAUGUCCUGCUUCAGUCCGGCGAAAAGAAAUGUCCUGCUUCUGGUAGGUAACCCAUUUCACCCGCUAUGCCGCAACGGUAUGCUUCUUACUUUGUUUCUCUGCAAUAUGAUCUUCUUAAAUAUGCAAAUCUUUGAUUUUAUCAAAAUGAGCAGGAAAUACUAAUCAAACUUUGGGACCACUCCAUCUGGAGGACACCAUUACCCAGAACACUGCAUCAGUGGUGCUUAACAAACAGACAUGGAAGAAAAUUACCCUUGUUAUGUACAUCAAUGCUCUAGAUUGUACUACAGCAUUUUUUACGUCAAACAAAAAUUGUAGAGCUAUAUACUGUAUGCGAAGCUACAAACCUCUUCAUGAGAACAUAUACACACCUUGCAGCAGCGGUAGCAGCUAGCAGCAGCAGCAUCAUCAUAUCUAUCCUAAUUAAGUACGAGAGCAUGACAUCAUCUGAAGUACACCCCUGAAGCAAACAGGCAACCAGUACACAGAGUAGGCAGAGGCGGAUCGGAUCGGCCAUAUCAACAAUGCUUGGGCGAAUUCCUCCGCGGCGAGAAGAGGCGGCGCGGCGAGAGCAUGGUGAGGAACCUCGGCGAGGCGAUGCCGUUGAGCGACCGGUAGUCCGACAUGAGGAGGCCCUCCGUGUUCUCGUGCACCCUGGUGCGCCCGGGCGUCAUCCUCGCCGUGAAGGUGCUGUACUUGACCAGCUUGGGCAGCCACGCCUUCUUCUUCCUCUUGCCGUCGCCGCCGUUCAUCCUCGCGGUGAGGUAGGCGCGCAUGGCGUCCAGGCCCUGCUCCACGACGUCCAUGGGCGGGGACACCAGCGGGUUGCCGACGGCGCUGAACCUGGCGAGCUUGGUGAGGCAGCCCAUGGAGUCCGGGAGCGCGGCGAUGGAGUUGUAGCUGACGUCGAGCUCCCGGAGCGAGGCGAGGAGGCCGACGGCGUAGGGGAGCUCCCGGAGGAACUGGAAGUUCUGGCUGACGUUGAGCGCCUCGAGGUUGGCGAGGUUCUCGAGCCCGUCGGGGAGCGCGCGGAGGCAGUUGAGCCGGGCGUCCAGCGCCCUGAGCGCCGUCAUGUGCGACGUCGAGGAGGGGAGCUGCGCCAGCUUGUUGGAGUUCACCGACAGCUUCCGGAGGCUGUGCAGCUCGAACCCCAGCGUGUCCGGCAGCUUCGUCAGCUCGUUGAAGUUGGCGUGCAGCUCCUCCAGCGCACUGCCACACGUCAAUUCAAAAAACUAACAUUAGUAAACACCGUUUUAACAUCAAGCAUUUCUAUGUACUGAAUUAGAAAUACUUAGUACUCCCUCUGUUUCAUAUUAUAAGGCUUUUUAGCAUUACCGACAUUCAUAUAAAUGUUAAUAUAAAUGUUGAUGAACUUAAACACAUAUAUAUGUCUAGAUUCAUUAACAUAUAUAUCAAUGCUAGAAAUCUAUUAUAUAAUUAAAGGAAUAGAAAAAGAAGCCUUCACGUUCGCUCUCAUGGCUUAGAAAUUCUCACAUUAAUCAGAGAAAAAGAAAAAACAGAGUCCAUAUAGAAAUACAAUUUAGAAAUAGCUAAAAUCUGGAAUUAAAAAUUAAAAAAUAAGGAAUAUUAGAAGAGGAGACUAGAGUCCAUAUAGAAAUACACUUUAGAAAUAGUUGAAAUUCGGAAUUAAAAAUAAGGAAUAUUAUAAGAAGAGUAUAGAGUCCAUAUAGAAAUACAAUUAGGAAAUAAUAGAAAUUCGGAACUAAAAAUAAGGAAUAUUAGAAGUAGAGUAUAGAGUCCAUAUAGAAAUACAAUUAGGAAAUAAUAGAAAUUUUGAAUUAAAAAUAAGGAAUAUUAGAAGUAGAGUAUAGAGUCCAUAUAGAAAUAUAAUUAAGAAAAAAAAUAGAAAUUUCGGAAUUAAAAAAUAAGAAAUAUUAGAAGUAGAGUAUAGAGUCCUUAUAGGAAUUUAAAACUAACUAAAAUUCAGAAAAAAAAGGAGCCUCCACGUUCGCUCUCAUGACCUAGAAAUUCUCACAUUAAUCAGAGAAAAAGAAAAGGCAGAGUCCAUAUAGUAAUACAAUUUAGAAAUAGCUGAAAUUCAUAAUUAAAAAAUAAGGAAUAUUAAAAGAGGAGACUAGAGUCUAUAUAGAAAUACAAUUUAAAAAUAGUUGAAAUUCGGAAUUAAAAAAUAAGGAAUAUUAGAAGAGGAGACUAGAGUCCAUAUAGAAAUACAAUUUAGAAAUAGUUGAAAUUAGGAAUUAAGAAAUAAGGAAUAUUAGAAGAGGAGACUAGAGUCCAUAUAGAAAUACAAUUAGGAAAUAACUAAAAUUCGGAAUUAAAAAUAAGAAAUAUUAGAAGUAGAGUAUAGAGUCCAUAUAGAAAUACAAUUAGGAAAUAACCGAAAUUCGAAAUUAAAAAUAAGAAAUAUUAGAAGUAGAGUAUAGAGUCCAUAUAGAAAUACAAUUAAGAAAAAAAAAAGAAAUUUGGAAUUAAAAAUAAGGAAUAUUAGAAGUAGAGUAUAAAGUUUAUAUUGGAAUUUAAAACCAACUAAAAUUCAGAAUAAAAAGGAGCCUCCACGUUCGCUCUCAUGGCCUAGAAAUUCUUACAUUAAUCAGAGAAAAAAAAAAGCAUAGUCCAUAUAGAAAUACAAUUUAGAAAUAGCUGAAAUUCAGAAUUUAAAAAUAAGAAAUAUUAGAAGAGGAGACUAGAGUAGUUAUUACACAUUAGUAGUUUUGAAAAGUUAUUGCAAAAUUUAAAAUUAUGUUGUUAUUGUAAUAUAUUUUAAUAAUAUAAUGAGAAAAAUAUGUGCUAUUAUAUGAGAGAAAAUAUAAUGAUGCUAGCCGCGCAAUCUGCGCGGGCCACCAUGCUAGUUAUUAUAAUAUAAAACAGAGGAAGUAUGUUUUAGAACGAGACAAGUAAGGAUUGAGAUCCCCUGACUUAUCAGUUAACUUUAGAGUCACUGGCAUAUGAAUCCAUAGUAAAAAUGACCCACAUAUCAGUGUCUUAAAUUCAUGUGACUUAAGUCGGAGAAUAUCAAUCCGUAGUUGAUUGGUAUGUAGGAGAGGCGGCGGUGGCUCACCGGCACUCCUCGAUGGUGUUGGGGAGGGACUCGAGCAGGUUGCCGGAGACGUUGAGGACCUUGAGCUUGGAGAGGCAGCCGAUGGAGUUGGGCAGCGAUUUCAGCUGGUUGGACCGCACGUCCAGCACCACCACGUUCAGCAGCCGAGCGAUUAUUGACUCCGGGAUGCUCUGCGGUUUUCCAAAACGGAAGGAAAUUUAAGUCUCGUAUAAAGAUCGGAUUUUUUUUUACUUUCUCCGAAGUUUUGUCAACUGUAAAAAAAGGUUAGUACAACCAGAGCAUACGCACAAUUAAUCUGCAUGUUCUUUUUUGCCGGUACAGUACUGCAGGCAGUACCAUUUCUCCCACCAAGUCAAACAGAUAGAGAGAUAAGUUUGCAACUUGCAGGUAUUUUCGUCUUUAAUACCGUUCAUCCCAUAAUAAAACUUAAAGUUCAUCCUACUGGUAUACGUAUGCAUGGUUUCAGAAUAUUCUUGGCUCUUACAAAGCCAUCACUUAUUUGAUAUUUUUCGUCCUAGAAAAUGACAAAAUUAAGGAGGACAAGCCAAACGGCAAAAAAACAAGAGAUUGUGAAGAGGGAUGCAUGGCUAGUUAGGCUCAUGUAGUAUUAAUAAUAUAGGCCAUGCUUAUCUCAUACAGCUCGACUUAACUUAUCACCAAGAUAUAAAACUACCGUACACCGUUUGAAGAUAAGUUCUUGCUGGUUAUCCAUUACUAUAAUACUCUGAAUAGAUAGACAAAGAAGCAUGUGAUCUAGCUAGCUUCCAGAUCAAAAGUAGUAGUAAUAAAAUUAAACCACGUAUAUAUGAAAUCUACCUCAAGAUUGUUGUUAGAGAGAUCCAAGAUGGUGACUUGACCAAGAGACAUGGUGAGGUGUGGGAGGGCAUCCAUGGACAUGCCACUCAUGUCUAGCUUAUGCUCCUCGUUCUUCUUCUCCUCAUGAUCAUGCAACCCUCCUGCAAAACCAGCAGGGUUAAGGUGUCCACGCCUCCUCUUCUCUCCCAUUUCCCUCAUGCUUCCAAUCUUCUUCUCCACUUCUGAUAUACCUAGACAAAGGGACAAGAAAAUGAUGCAUUAGUAAGGUAGGAGAGAAGAAACAUCAGCAAUAAUUAGCACAUCACUGUACAUCUCACAAUUAUGUGAGCCCAAGCCAAAGAGGCAUGCUUCUGAUUAUUGCUAGGAUUGGGACAUACGGCCAGUACACAGCCAUAUUGACAAGGGAACAUAAGGGGUGACCACCAUUAAUUGCAUGUUGCAGUCAGAAUAAACAACAUGACUAAGAUAAAAAGAGUUUGGUGAGAGAGAGAACGAGCUUAGAGAGCGUACGUACAAAGUGGAACAAUAAUGCAUGUGGGUACGGUGAAGUGGAAGGGAUAGAAAAAGAUUAAUUGUUUUUAACUGAACUAUUUCUUGUUCUAGCUAGGUUAUAAUUAACCCUAGGCAUAUUAGCUAGGCAACCCUCUCAUAAUCUAGCUAGAACAACGUUAUAUAUAUAGUACGGAGUAGCUUACAUCAUUUUGUUAGCUCCUGUAAAAGAAAUCAUAUGCUAGAUACCCCUCGAGAUGGGUUAUCAAGAACAAGAAACUGGACACAAGUUCUUGACAGAAAACCUCUCUACAUCGCCAAAGACAGCGUUGAAACCAAGAUUAGAAGAGCACACAGCUAACUAAAGAAGGAUAUUACUCAUUAAAAAUAGCCUGCACUAGCAAGGGAGAGGACGAGGGUAUUUAAGUUCUCUUUCUGACUUUCUGUGUGUCUAUUUUUUAAACAAAAACAUUCAAAGCCAGAAUACUUGUAUCAAGAAACCAAGUAAAAUGGUAUUAUUAUUUUUUGAACGGAAGUAAAAUGGUACUCCCUCCGUUUCGAAAUGUUUGACACCGUUGACUUUUUAGCACAUAUUUAACCGUUCAUCUUAUUCAAAAACUUUUGUGAAAUAUGUAAAAUUAUAUGCCUGCAUGAAAAUAUAUUUAACAAUGAAUCAAAUGAUAGGAAAAGAAUUAAUAAUUACUUAAAUUUUUUGAAUAAGACGAACGGUCAAACAUGUGCUUAAAAUGUCAACGGCGUCAAACAUUUCGAAACGGAGGGAGUAUUAUAGUAGAGCUAGAAACCACUACAGCUAGAAUCACCGCAAGCAAAAUGGCGGAAAACAACGAGCUACCGAGAACAUGAAUCCUUAGCAGGAGAAACCCCGGAAAACCGACACAAAAGAUUAGCAGUAUCUCGCGCGCUCCCUCAUCGCAAGAAAUCCAGGAGAGAAAACCAGUAGCUAGCUAGCUAGCCUCAUACCAAAUUACCCCCAAAAACAAGAGGAAAAAAAAAAAACCUUCAACAAGAUCACUCUAGCGGCCGCAUGCAAAUACUCCGGAAAAAACCACCAAACGAACUGAGCACGAAGCAGCAGAAAAGCAAAAGCAAAGCUCUCACCUGGUCAGGCUCAAGAGAGUUCUUCAAUUCAGAGCAUGCAGCACGCAACACGGCUUGAGGCAACGAGGUCUCGGCAAAGCUGAGGAGGAAGAAGGCGCGGGAUGUAUGGUGUGGUAGCCCUUGCAGCGAGGAGAAGCCCUGAUAUAUAGUAGCUAACGCGAGAGGUGGAGAGACGACGAUCCGAGGCUGGCUGCUGCAAACUGAUCGAUCGAUCGGCGCAACCGCAACCGAUGGAUCCAACAGCUGAGCUGACCCGAUGACCCUUUCCACACGGUACGGAUGCGCCGUGCAGCUUAGCCAGCUUGAUCUUCUUUUCUUUUUCCCCUUGAGAAAGCCAGGUUGAUCAUUAGUACUAUAUCGGCUGGUUUUAUAUUUUUUAUUUUUGAAUAAAAAAAUGUAAGUUGAUUUAUAAAAGUUCACUGAAUUUUUAGUACUAGUAGUGGUGUAGUGGUGGGGCCCACGCCUGCAGGUAGUACUGCAGGUCGCGGCCGCCGGUACGGCCGUACGUACCCACCCCCACCUCUCUCAACGGCUGACUUGCUCGGUUUGUUUUGGAAGGUCAAAUAUAAUGCAUUGGGUAACGUAAGUUGAAGAAGCCAAGGAGAGAUGCUGCAGGCGACACACCAAUAAGGGUCACCGCUUGAUAAUAAUCACCCCUUCAUGAACCGGAGGGCUAGCUGAUCUGAUUAGUGGGAAUGUAGGAUAUGAGAUGGAUUUCAAAAUAUAUAUGUUCCGUACGUCAGUUGCGCAAUCGAUUUAUAUUGAGUUAAGUCGUCUAAUGAGUUAAAUCUGUUGUUGAAAUUUUUGUAAAUAUUUUCUCCAUUCUCUUUUAUUUGACGUCAAAUUUAAAAGAAAAAAAUAACCUAAAAUCGGAUAAGACAUUCUGGACAGACAAACUGUCUAGAUUCACAGUAAAAUGUCUCAUCCGGUUCUAGAUUCUUAUAUUAUAUUUUUGAAUGGAUGAAGUAUUAUUCAAGAUUUUAGGCCACUCAGGUUUUUGGUUUUUGAAUGUUGGUAGCUCAGAGAGUCGUGCUUGAACCAUGGUAUCUAUAUGACUUCUUUUUCCACAUAAAUUGUUUUUCUAGUGACAAUUAAUUCUUUUAAACUGGAGGAAGUGUGUAAAUCUAUUAUAUUAUUAAAGGAAUAGAAAAAGGAGCCUCCACGUUCGCUCUCAUGGUCUAGAAAUUCUCAUAUUAAUUGGAGAAAAAGAAAAGGCAGAGUCCAUAUAGAAAUAUAAUUUAGAAAUAGUUGAGAAAGAAAAUAGAAAUUCAGAAUUAAAAAAAUAAGGAAUAUUAGAAGUAGAGUAUAGAGUCCAUAUAGGAAUUUAAAACUAACUAAAAUUUAGAAUAAACAUGAUAAAAUCAAAAGUAGAGUUUAGAGUCCACAUAAAAUACAAUUUACAAAUAACAAAAAUUCGAAAUUAAGAAAAACAUGGGAAGAAGAGUUUAAAAUCAAUAUAGGAAUGCAAUUUAGAAGUAACUGAAAUUCGAAAUUAAAAAUUAGUUUAGAGUCCACAUAGAAAUACAAUUAGAAAUAAUAAAAAUUCAGAAAUAAAAAUAAAUAAUAUUGGAAGAAGAUCAUAGAAUCUAUAUAGAAAUACAAUUUAUAAAAAAUUCGGAAUUCAAAAAAAAGAAAUACUAAAAAAUGAGUCAAUAUAUAUAAUUUACAAAUAACUAAAAUUUGAUAUUAAAAAUAAUUAAUAACUAACACGUAUAUAAAAUACAAUAUGAAUAUUACACAUUAGUAGUUUUGUAAAGUUAUUACAAAAUUUAAAAUUAUGUUGUCAUUUUAAUAUAUUUGAAUAAUAUAAUGAGAAAACAUACUAUAUGCUAUUAUAUGAGAGAAAAUAUAAUGAUAAUAGCCGCGCGAUCUACGCGGGCCACCAUGCUAGUUAUAUACUAAUAUGCAUAAUUAUAUUAUGAGUAUCUAAGUGUUCCUCACAUCAUGUUGUAUCGUGAGUUCCUGAACACAAACCUCUAUUCCAUCAGCCGGUUUCCAUCGGCUCGGUGAACAAAAUGUGCAUACUUAUAACUAAAUGUUUUAAUAUAUAUUUUUAGAAUAUCCUUAGUGGAAAUUGUCUGUUGGGUUUUAAUGCGAAGAGUUCGCCUGUUCAAGAUUUUUUUUGUCUUGAAAAAAAAAUCUGUUGUUUUUUUUUUAGAAACAGAAGGAUAGUGAUCAAAAGAAGUUGGCAAUUGGCAUCUUUAUCAUAAAGUGAUGAAUUCUACAGUGAUAGGCGGAUCGAUGCCAACGGCAAAUAAUGUAAUGCCCAAUCGGACUAUUUUCGGUUUUGAAAAAAAUAUUUGGCUAACUGAUCGAUGAGAUUUAGCUCUUUCGGUGCAGUCUCUAACAUGAGUAAUUGGCUGGUGUUGACAGAGCUAGCUGGCUUUGUCUGCAUUUGGUUGUUCUUAUGGAUAUCCCUGAAUUGCACGUAGCAAUUAUGUAAAAGGCUAAAAUCUCCUGCAGAUUCGUAUACCUAAAUUAAACUAGCAUAAAUUAGACCUAUAUAUAUUGUGGUGUUGAGAGGGGUCAGCUCGUUCAUAUGUAAGUAAGCGUGGUUAAAAUUUAGCUGAAACUCGUAACGUGGCGACAUCCAUCUUACUUGUACAAUAAGCAAGUACUUCCAGCGUCUGACUUUUUUUGCCAUCAAAAUAUAUGAAUAUACAAGCUGUACUACUCCAAUAAAAACACAGGAAAAAAACUAUACAUGAAACGCUAGCUGAUGAUCAAAAUACUAAUGAGAGAAAAUUCUAGUGUACUUGUUUUUCAAUAGAUAAUAAGUAUGGACAAGGAUUUAUCACUAGCCUCCAUCUCUUUUAUACUGUUACAUCCGUAUUUAAAUAUGACACUUUUCACUUUAUCAAGUCGUUGGCAUGCAACUUUUAACCACUAUUUUUAUGUUAGAAUAAAGUGGUAAUAUAAUGUCUAAUAAAAUUGUAAUGUUGUAAAAGUAUUUACAAAGAAAACUCUACCACAUUUUUUUAUUUUCAAACUAAAUAAUUUUAGAGCUAUUGAUGAUCAAAGUUUCAAAUGAAUGAAUAAAGUCAUCAAUGUCAUAUUUAAAGACGGAGGUAACAUGUGUUAAGUGGCACACGUACUCAUACGUGUGCGUCUUCUUUACAAUUAAAAGAACAUAAAAGGAUUAAGAUGAAUGAAAUUGUACAGUUCCUGUGAAAACUACUUAAGUUUCUGUUCAGGGCUUAAUUAAGCGUUUUUAUGCUUUAUCACCCUGAAAGCUCGAUUAGAAAGGUGAGACUUGACCUGUUGGCUUCAUUAAGCACUAAGCAAGCUAUAUGCAUGUACCCUGAAGUACAUCUACAGCACAAAGUCUUGAGAGCUAUGCAUGGCCUUAAUAACGAGCUCCAUUACAGUACUAUAUUAUAUUGCAAGCUACUUGCAGAUGGUACUAUAUUAUCUGGGCCUGUGAUGUGGCCUAUCCUCCAUCAAAAUGACGGAAAUUAAGGGAAACCACAAUUGAUGUUUCAGUCUAAACAAACGGCUAGCUAAGUCAAGGUCAGUACUGCCCCUGCCGAGAGGGGAGGACAUACGUGCAGAGUCUGAAUCAUCUGAAAAUUCCAUGAACUGAUUGUGCCUGCUAGUACUUGCAGCAGGCAUGCACCAUGUUUUACACAAAGGCAUGCACUUUAUUGAAAAAAAUGGAGCUUAAUUAAGGUCAAUACUAGCUUGUGCAGUUUAACUGUUCAACAUAUUUAUCUGAUCUUUUCAGGCAGAUUGACUAUCCCUUUCUGUUUUUUCUUCUUGCCGAAUGGCUGUCUGUCUAGAUUGUUCACCUUUUCUCUAGAGCAUUGUAGUUAGCUUGACACAAAAUUUCGAUCAAUUUAUUGGCCAUUUGGCUUCAAUAAUUAAUAAAUUGUGAAAAAAGGUCAGCGUCAGAGGUCCACACUACAGUAUUGUGAUGCAGACGGUGUAGUUGACAUACAGCUUCAGGUUGAUCAUCCUUCCUUGAACUACAUAAUUCUUCAAAGCUUCGGAUAAAAUUUCACCCGACUAACAGUUUUUUUUUUCACAGGACUGAUUAUUCAGAGAUAUUGUACUGCACGUCGCGACGACAGCUAGAACCCACUUCCACAAUCUUCAUCCGUAAAAAAUGAUAGAAACUCGUCCAUGCUCAAUGCACAUAUAUAAUUCAAUUACUUUAAGAAAGAAAGGUUUAUUUCAUCUUCCUUUUUUGCAUGGACUAAUAACUAGCUUGUCUAUAUAUACAAAAGGAAAACAACUUGCAUGAUGAAACCAGCUAGUUGAAAUAAUUAAAAGAAAAUCAGUGGACAGGAUUGGACUGAAUUUAAAACGUGCCAUUUGAGACAAGGAAUAGUUACGAUAUACAGUCCAGUAAAAAACAUACGACAUUGUUAAUUAUGUACUCCCUCCGUUUCAAAAUGUUUGACACAGUUGACUUUUUAUUACGUGUUCGACCAUUCGUCUUAUUUAAAAAAUUUAAGUAAUUAUUUAUUCUUUUCAUAUCAUUUGAUUCGUUGUUAAAUAUACUUUCAUGUACACAUAUAGUUUUACAUAUUUCAUAAUUUUUUUUGAAUAAGACGAAUGGUUAAACAUGUGCUAAAAAAUUAACGGUGUCAAACAUUUUAAAAUGGAGGAAGUAUUAUCUUCGCUGCUUAAGUCAGCCGCCCAUGUGGUUGGACUAAUUAAUCCAGGUUAUAACGAACGGACGAUAAGCAUAUGCUCUAGUGAUAAGAUGGUGGUACAAGUCAUUGUACCGGCCCACAGUCCAACCUGGACACUACUACACAACUGCUUCAGUUAACAAGCAAUCUAAUUAAUUAGUUCGACCUAUAUUAAAUUUCUGUUAAUGUAGUAAAUUACCCACUGGCAAGCUGAAAAUCUAUUGACUGUAAGAUUCGUUCAUGCAUCCAUUGCAACUGACAGCCGCAUUUCUUCUCAUGAUUGAAAAGGUGUCAAGAAAGAUGAAAUUAUCCUCCUACGCAAGUGCACUAUCUGUAACUCAUUAAUUACAGUAAAUAUCUUGGAACACAAGUGCCCAACUUUAAAUUUGUUGGACCGUAUGCUAGCUCCCCGGAAAUUUCCAUAACUUCAUUAAUUUCAGGUUUCAAGGUAUACCUAUGGACAACUAGCAGUGUGUAGAUCGAUGAUCCUAGUAUUUGACAAGUGAGCAAACAGCAAACAAACAGACAAAACGAGAAGAUCUUAGAUAAAACUAAUAAAGCUCAACAUCCAUGUCACUGUGAUGUGGCAUGCACCGCCUUUUAUUCUACUUGCACAGCAAACCCUUUUUUUUUUUUUUUGAACGACUGGCAAACCCUGAUUUUUGUAUCAUAUGCCUCUGUCGUCUAGCAAUAGAUUCUCUCCCAGUAACUACUGCUAUAAUUUAAGCAGCAGUUUGUUUCAUGCAGGUUACUGUACUAAAUUACAGCAUUAACUUGCCAUCAUGGUUGCUGCCACCUGCUAUUAAUCUUGUUUAACCAUUGCAUAAACAAGAUACCCAGAGUACUAGUCUAAAGCUACAUAUGCAUAUCAAUAUUCAGUAGCAUGGCCAAGUUGUAUAGUUUUCUAGCAUUGAUAUAUAUAUAUAAGCUCUCCCAUGCACAGAGAGAAGUUGACCUUGUGAAAAUCUCUGAUUUAUUGUUCAUGUGAAGCCCCAAAUUCAUGUUGUUUACUAAUGAUACAUGCACAUGAUAGCUAGCUUGAUCGAUGAUGAUGCUCUGUACGGGCAAAGGACGGUUGACCUACGGAGCAAUCUGCCACUGCCAGUCAGCAAUCUGCACAGUUGACAACCGAAAACGACACCAGCUAACGUCCGUAUAUGUUUCGUUAGUUAGCACAAGGGAACAUGAUGAGAUUAAGAUCAUAAUUCAAGGCUUCAAGCAUGAUUACGGUGAGCGGCACGAAAUCUUCUCAAGGAACCUAAAGGUACAAAACGUACGGCUCUAUGGUUUUCGGAGAAGAAAAUUAGCGGACUUUCAGGACAGCAACCACUGUUUGCAAAACGGUUAUGUACAUUGUACCGUGAUCGUCUCUAUCACUUUUUAUUUAUUUUAUUUUACUAGAAAAUAUGCCUGUGCGUUGCAACUGGUGAAGGCUAUUUUAAUCUUAUUAUUGUUCACUGUGAAAUUCACUAUGAGAAUUCGCUUAGAUAUAUAUUUGUCUAGAAAAUUAUAUCAAAUUAGCAUGCGAGUUUUUUAAAUAGAUUUUUUAUAUGUUAUGUAUUUUUAAAAAUGAACGAACUUAAAACCCGAUUCAUAUACGGAUAUGUAUUUCCAAAUGCGAACGAACUUAAAAACUGACUCAUACACGGAUGACAUAUCAAAAGUAUCGGAAAAACAACUUCAAUUUUUAUAAUAGUAGAGAUUUUAUUGGAUUUUUCUUGUGCUCUUCAACAACUCUGAUUGGUCGAUCAGUGGCCAGUUGGUCACUGUGCACUUUUUUGUCUGUUCGUAUGUGUUGAAGAAGUAUGUUUAACUUGGAGAAAAUCAAUGUCAAUAGGUAUAUGUCAUCCUAGUUGGAAAGUCUCUUUUACAUAUAUCAGUUGAUCAAGAAAAAUAUAUUUUCUAUGUGAUCCUAGUACGGUUCAGAGGCGUCACUAGGAGUUCAAAAAAUUGCACAUUGGCGGUGAGCUUCACGAGCUAAAACUAAGGAAUCAUUGGCUUAUCUGUUCAAUUCCAAUUUUUACUUUACUGCUGCAUUUGUCAUCACUAUACCCGUGAUCUGAUGACACGAGCAGGCGAUCCCAUUCUCAAGCCUGGUUGGACUUUGCAUAGGUUAAAAAAUUACGAUGUUUUCUCGAAAUGAACAUAGCUCAUAUGGUUAGGUUUAUAGUGGUGUAACAUGUUUAUCUAGUUCAAUAAAUUCGACACGAGUGUUGCAUUUACGUCUAAAUUUUUUAUUAAUGAGAGAUAACGUACCCGUCAACAACGAGAUACUUGUGGUUACUUCGUUUCAAUCUCAAAAAUAUGUUGAUACAGUUUUUGGAGGUGCUUAUAGCUAGGAGUAGCCAAGUAGGCUAUGUUUUAAAUGUGCUCAUAAGUAUAGAAUAUGCGUGUGUAUGUUUAUAAGGAUAGACAUAUGUGUUAUGUGAGUAUCUGUUUUGUACCGUGUAUUGAAAACAAACGCUGCUUUCAAUGAUCAAUUUGUCUUUGCUAGCCGCAACAAGAAGAUGAAUUUUUAAGUCCGUCUUCUGGAAGAGCAAGCAAGUACAGGUGUGCCGUACAUGGGCUGUACUGGAUACGUACGUAGCUACUAUAGCUAGCCGGCGUCGAUCACCUGCAAAGUCAAAUUAAGCAGCAGCGAAUCAUGUUCAGGUUACAUGGCAAAGUCAGCCAAGCAAAGCCUCUAGAGUCCGGAUGACGUGCAGCUCAUUGCGUGCCUGUAGAAAUUCAGUCGUGAAGUUUCAGUAGAGUAAUCCGUUCUUUUUUAUUAUUUUUCAAAGGAACGAGUAACCCGGUUUACAUGUGGCAGAAACGACACAUGUUAGUUCAAGAUGGUGUUUGCAUUGAGGGACAAAGGGACCUAAUGAUGUAUAUUACAAACUUCUACAAGAAUCUUUUUGGUCAUUCACAGGAGGUUAGUAUAUCUCUCAGCUUGGAUAAUGUGAUGAAAGUUACAGAGGAGGAUGCUAUUGGACUAAUUACCCCUGUUACAAUGGAAGAACUUAGAAAUGUGGUCUUUGAUCUUAAGAAGAAUAAGUCCCCAGGACCUGAUGGGAUGCCAGGUGAAUUUUAUAUCCAUUUCUGGGAUUUGAUCAAACAUGAUUUGCUGGAUUUGAUAAAUGACUUUCAAAGAAAUUCAGUUAAUAUUGACAGAUUGAAUUUUGGUGUUAUCACUUUGAUCCCCAAAACAAAGGAUGCUUCCCAAAUUCAGAAAUUUAGACCAAUUUGUUUGCUAAAUGUCAGUUUCAAAAUAAUUACAAAAGUUUUGAUGAAUAGACUGAAUGGAACCAUGGCUUACAUCAUUUCUAAACAACAAACAGCUUUUUUGAAAAAUCGUUUUAUCAUGGAGGGAGUGGUUAUCUUACAUGAAGUGCUUAACUCAAUUCAUCAAAAAAAACAAAGUGGCAUUCUUUUUAAAGUUGAUUUUGAAAAAGCGUAUGAUAAAGUGAACUGGGUCUUUAUUUAUAGAAUGUUGAAAGCAAAAGGUUUUCCAGAUCAGUGGUGUGAUUGGAUUAUGAAGGUGGUCAUGGGUGGAAAAGUGGCAGUCAAAGUAAAUGAUCAAAUUGGUUCUUUCUUUAAAACCCAUAAAGGCUUGAGACAGGGAGAUCCCCUCUCUCCUUUGCUGUUCAAUUUGGCAGCAGAAGCUCUAACCUUGUUAGUGCAGAGAGCUGAGGAGAACUCCCUUAUUGAAGGUUUAGGGACCAAUGGAGAUAACAAGAUUGCAAUUUUGCAAUACGCAGAUGACACAAUUUUCCUUAUUAAUGACAAGCUGGAUCAUGCAAAAAAUCUGAAGUAUAUUCUAUGCUUAUUUGAACAACUUUCUGGUCUUAAAAUAAAUUUCAAUAAGAGUGAGGUCUUCUGCUUUGGAGAGGCCAAAGAAAAACAAGACUUGUAUAGCAAUAUCUUCACCUGUAAAGUGGGCAGCUUGCCCUUGAAAUAUUUGGGGAUACCCAUUGAUCAAAAAAGAAUUCUUAACAAAGACUGGAAACUGGCUGAAAACAAGAUGGAACACAAACUGGGGUGCUGGCAAGGCAGACUUCAAUCUAUUGGUGGGAGGCUGAUCUUGCUUAAUUCUACCCUCAGUAGUGUACCUAUGUAUAUGAUAUCUUUCUACAGACUACCAAAGGGGGUUCAGGAAAGGAUUGAUUAUUUCAGGAAAAGGUUCCUAUGGCAGGAGGAUCAGGGUAUUAGGAAAUACCAUCUGGUUAACUGGCCACUGGUUUGCUCACCCAGGGACCAAGGGGGGCUGGGAGUUUUAGAUUUGGAGGCAAUGAAUAAGGCAAUGCUUGGGAAAUGGAUUUGGAGAUUGGAAAAUGAGGAGGGUUGGUGGCAAGAGAUUAUUUAUGCAAAAUAUUGUAGUGACAAACCUCUCUCUGGGUUGAGAUUAAAGGCUGGUAGCUCUCAUUUCUGGCAAGGGGUGAUGGAAGUGAAAGAUGAUUUUUUUUCCUUUUGCACAAAAAUUGUGGGGAAUGGGGAAAAAACUUUGUUCUGGGAAGACAGUUGGUUGGGUGGUAAACCUCUGGCUAUUCAGUUCCCUUCUUUAUAUGGAAUAGUGAUUACUAAGAGGAUUACUAUUGCAGAUCUUAACAGGAAGGGGAUAGACUGCAUGAAAUUUAGGAGGGAUUUACAUGGUGAUAAGCUCAGAGAUUGGAGGAAGAUUGUAAAUAGCUGGGAAGGGCUAAAUUUAGUAGAAAACUGUAAAGACAAACUCUGGUGGACUUUAUCCAAAGAUGGGAAGUUCACUGUGAGAUCCUUUUAUAGAGCCCUCAAGUUACAGCAGACUAGUUUCCCUAAUAAGAAAAUUUGGAAAUUCAGAGUUCCUUUGAAAAUUAGAAUCUUUAUUUGGUUUUUUACUAAAAACAAAAUUCUCACAAAAGAUAAUCUUCUAAAGAGAGGUUGGAGAAAGGGAGACAAUAAAUGUCAAUUUUGUGACAAAGUGGAAACUGUUCAGCAUCUCUUUUUUGAUUGUCCUUUGGCUAGGCUUAUCUGGAAUAUUAUUGCGUGUGCUUUGAAUGUGAAACCAGUUUUGAGUAGACAGGAUCUGUUUGGUUCCUGGAUUCAAAGCAUGGACAAAUUUACAAAAAACCUUGUGAUUGUUGGAAUAGCAGCUGUUCUAUGGUCUAUUUGGAAAUGCAGAAACAAAGCUUGUUUUGAAAGAAAGCUUCCAAAUGAUCCUAUUGAGUUAGUUUAUUUGGCAUGUAACUGGGUGGACUCUUGGGCAAUUUUGCAGAAGCAGGAGGCAAGUCGAAGAAAUUUGCAGCUGGGAACCAGACUUCUAAAACAGGUGGCAAAUGAUGUUUUUAAUUCAAGUCAUGGAUGGAGUGGCGGCAUUAGAAGAAUCGGAGUAGGAUGAAGGCAGUUGGCUGCCCCGGAUUAGUUGUUAGCUUUUCAGGAUUAGUUGUUAGCUUUUCAGGAUCUAUGUCGAGAUGUGGUAGUUUACUGAUUAGUCUGUAAUGAUCAGACUGAAUGUUUCUUUUGUAAGCUACCAGAUAGGGACCUGGUCUUCCUAUCGGUAGUUUUUUCCUUAUGUUCUAUCAAGACUUGUUUGUAGCUACUGUUCAUUUCUAGUAAUGGAAAUGGGGGUGUUUGCACCCUGGUUCAAAAAAAAAAAUGUGGCAGAAACGAAUAGACGAAGCAAAAAUAUCUUAAAAAACGCUGCAAAAAUAUCUUUAAAAACGGAUAGAUGAAGUAGCUCAGCUCAUCUUUCUUUCUUUUGACCUCGAUUCCGUACGCACUGCCGUUAUUGGGAACCAGUAGGCUACAUGGCGAAUACCUGUCUGGUUUCCACGUGCGCGCAGCGUGCCUUGCUUACGGUUGUGCUUCUCAGCUCUAAUGGAGUAAGUAGUAAUAAGGAGUCGGCAACAUAAGAGUUGUGUGUUGAACUCAAAAUUAUUGUUGAUCAUUAAAAAAGAAAUCUCAAAAAUUGAUUAUUUGUGGUAUGUCUGCAACUUUAGACCUCACAAAAAGAUGAUGCAUCGAUCACAGUCACAAACGCGUAACACCACAGCAACUCGAAUCGCCCGGUGGGUACCAUUUGCAAAGCAACAUCCUGAUCAACCUGAUCGCAAAUUCGCAAUUCUCAAAUCCACAGAGUUGUUUUUUUUUUCAAAGACGAAAACACAAAGUUGAUGAUAAUAACGAAGGGAGAAAAAACGACGCCCGGCACGCGCAGCGAUCGCGGAUCCCGCCACCCGCUCCCACCACCACUACCUCGAUCGCACACUACAGUGCCGCAGCGUACAAAUUAUUCAGGAGCGCGACGUCGCGCGUGAUCGCGAUCAACCCGAUGGACGGAUCGCCCGAUCCGUAUACCGCCUCCCCCCGGAGCCCCUUCUCGUGUACUAGUCACGCUCAAUGACGCGACGACCCUUCCCGGCCAAGAUUGCCGCCUCCUCCUCUCCUCCGCGCGCGCGCGAUCGCUAACCGAAAACGAACGCGCCCGCGCGCGUCGCGAUCGAUCUUGGUGGUGCAAAUGCCGCCGCGACCCCGCACGCCCCCCCGCGCGCGCGCGCGGGCGAAGGGUGGUGGAUUGGCUAGCUCUCCCCGUGUCCGACGCGGCCAUCGUCGCGCGCGCGCGGCCACGGGCGAGUCCGAGAGUGCGAAGGAGUACACGUGAGGCUGACGCGGCAGCGAUGUGUCGCCGGUACGACGUCGCCUUCUGCUCGCCCCCGCGAAGAGGCGGAAGUGUGAACCCGGAUUCAAUGCGCGAGGAAUUUCUUCGCGUCGGCCACACCUCCAGGGACCCCGCGCGGUUAAUGAACCAAGGAGCAGAGAGACCGAGACGAGAGCGAGGGUAACAUGGCACCUAGUAGAGGCUAGAGCCACGGGCCAGCCACACGCGGGGACACGGCUCGCGUCGCGUCGCGAUCGAUCGAUCGCCGCGGCAGCAGAAACGGGAAGGGUUUUUUUUUUUUGUACGGUGCGUGACGCAGGAUCGCACGUAAAUUUUGCUCUCUCGCGUCGUCGUCGUCGGAGCAUAGCGCGUGCGGGUGGAUGGCACGUAAAUCGUCGCGCGUCGCUGUCAACCAAGGAUACUGCGAUAUCUGGAGGCUAUAAAUGGUCGCGCGAGCUCGUGAUAUCUCCCAUCGGUGGCUGCGAUGGAGAGCGAAACAGGGGAACGCGAAGUACGUUACGAUCCAUUUCUUCCACGGGCACCCGGUUGGUUUCAGACUCCUUUGCGUCGCAGAGCAGCGAGCUCCGUUUUACGGCUGCCGAGAUUGUGGUUCUUGGAGGGGUUUAGGACUAACCAAACGUGCCCAGAUAAGGAUGAAGGCCGCGCUGCAUUGAAUGGGGAAAUAGACCGGUCGAAACGACGUACGUAAUGGUGACUACUCCCUCCGUUCCAAAAAAAAAGACAAACUCUGAUUUCCGUGCCCAACGUUUGACCGUCCGUUUUAUUUGAAAAAAUUGUGAAAAAAAUUAAAAAGACAAGUCACACAUAAUAUAUUAAUCAUGUUUUAUCAUCUAACAACAAUGAAAAUAUAAAUUAUAAAAAAAUUUCAUAUAAGACGGACAGUCAAAGUUGGACACGGAAACCCAGAGUUUGCCUUUUUUGGUGACGGAGGGAGUACUGACUUAGGUGGUGUUUAGAUCCAGUGACUUAACUUUAGUCCCUGUCUUUAGACACUAAUUUAGAGUAUUAAAUAUAGACUACUUACAAAACUAAUUACAUAAAUAAAAGCUAAUUCACGAGACAAAUUUUUUAAGCCUAAUUAAUCUAUAAUUAGAGAAUGUUUACUGUAGCAUCACAUAGGCUAAUCAUGGAUUAAUUAGGCUCAUUAGAUUCGUCUCGCAAAUUAGUCCAAGAUUAUGGAUGGGUUUUAUUAAUAGUCUACGUUUAAUAUUUAUAAUUAAUUUUCAAACAUCCGAUGUGAUAGGGACUUAAAAGUUUUAAAAUUUUUAGUCCCAUCAAGUCAUCUUCGUUUUUUAUUUCCCUGUGAUCUGUGAGCCAGUGAGUCUAGUCUAGAGCGGUUAAACGUCAACAAUUGCUGUGAGGGUCCGGCUGCUUGCUCUGGGUUGGUCUGGUUCUCCCGUGGAUUACUCAAGGUAAACGCCACUUUGUGCAAAAUGCGACUAGUUGCCUGUGUCUGCCGCUCAUAAGCCACCACCUUUCCAUCUUUUCCAACAUAGGACCUGUAGAUCUUAACGCUGCUGUCUGCUGUUAUUUAGAGUUGUGAGAAAUGAAGAAUACGCUUGCACGUAGCACGUACGGACGCAGACUUUUUUUUUCCAGGUGUUUGAAACGCUGGACGACUUAAAAGUGGUACUAGUAGGAUAGAAAUAUCACGACGGAGUGCCGUCAGUAGCAGAGAUAGGAGAUCCCUUCACGGAACGUCAAGGAUGAAACUGACCGUGCGGGUUUUAAAGGCCAAACGUGUCAUCACAUAUCAGAGGUGAAAUUUUUAGCGAGGCCGCGCUCAUCAUGCACGGCAAAGCAUGCUCCAUCGUCACAUCGGACAAGAUUAACCAGCGUCGUGGAAGACUAGAAGGUCCAGCUUUGGCUACGAAAAACCUGACAUUACGUUCUGGAAGUGUCAGCUGCUCCUCUUUUAACGUCUCAACAACAGGUGGCUAGAGAUUCGACAUGCUCCUACACGAUAGUAAAUGACCAAAGAAAAGCAGCAACGAAAGUGCAACAAGCGGCCAGAGGACCCGCUUCCAACAGAAAACAGAAGAAAAAUCCCAAACCAUCUGAAAUGCGCCAGGUUGCUGGACGCACCUGCAAGGCUGCAGUCGAAACGAAUUUUCAGACGCAUAUGGCCCCGAUAGGUCGCAACAGGCAGAUACGUAUGAAAUGAAGGCAUCCAAAUAAGCAUUACAGCACAUGCUGCCAAACGAAAUAAAUCACUGCUCCCUCCGUUCCAAAAAAAAAAAAAAAAAGACAAACCCUGGUUACCGUGUCCAAUGUUUGACGUCUUAUUUAAAAAAAUUAUGAAAAAAAUUGAAAAGAUAAAAGUCACGCAUAAAGUAUUCAUCAUAUUUUAUCAUCUAACAACAAUGAAAAUACUAAUUAUAAGAAAAAUUUAUAUAAGACGGACAGUCAAACAUUGGCACGCAAACCCGCGGUUUGUCUUUUUUUUUAGAGGGACGGAGGGAGUAGAGACUAGAGCGACUGCCAUUAAUACUGUAACAUGGAAGCUUCUGAAAUCACCACAGAAAGGAACAACGCACUCAGAUACGGAGAUUUCUUCUCGCUCCGUUGUCCACAUAAAACUGCGAACUACUAUAUAUCUGCAUAGGCUCUAACUCCAAGAAGUAAAACUGGAGCAACGUUAAAGUGAAGUAAGCUCAAAUAAGUAUCCAAAAUCUUUUCUCCAAUACGCUAAUAAAACGCCAUUAGAAAUCUCCCUGCAGCAGCUCUGCCGCAAAAUCACACCUUGCCCCGUCAAGUAUCUGAACGCAUGGUUAAUAGUGCCACAAUUUUCCAAAGGUAAUCAGACCUAUCCAUGUGAAGCAUAGUGUAUGUACAAUCCUGAUAGCAGUUAAUUACACCUUAAUGAUGUUAAAAGUAAACCUUGGCACAAGUUUCCCUCUGAUCCGUAGCUUCAUACAUCGCUGUGAUCAGCGUCAUCACCCUUGGCAUCAGCAGCUGCACCAAAUGGAGUCACGUGUGACGGAUGUGGAACAGGAGGAUAUUAAAAGUGGUCAAAAUAGAACACCUAGACAGAAACCUCGGAAACCAACAGUUAGAUUUGAAGUUCUAUUGAGAUGCCCGUGAUAGUGCGUGGGCAAGGGAUGUGAUUUCAACUCCAAGGUUUUAUAUUUAAUUCUCAACACGCUCACAAUUUCUUAUAAUUAUUUGAUAGCCAAGCGCCUUCUUGGUUGUCCUAAUUUUUUUUUUAAGAUUUGAAGUUCUACUAGCAACAAUUACUACUGUAAAAUUUCACUUCGGUACUGUGCCUCCGCAAGAAAGUGCACUAUGUUUUAGUGUCAAACAUAAAUACAGAAAUGCACUAAUGCAGUUGCUUACCUUGUUUACUUCCUGGGCAGCAACAUGCAAAGAAAUCUCCUAAUGGUCUCUCUGGGACAGGGAUAAGCUUUCCCACAAAUGCCAACGGCCAGCUGCAUAAAGGAGAUCAACCAGGUAGUGAAGUACAGUUCAACACUCUAUGAGAACAAAUCUGAGAAAAAUAGUUGAGACAACACGAUUUUCAUACUUCCAGAAGGCAGAUGUUACAACUAUACCAAGAUCUGCCUUUUCUUUCACACGAGCGAGAGAGCUUACCUAAAAAAGGCGAGACCUAUUGACACCAACCACAACUGCCAGGUGAGUCUGGUUGUCGAUGUAAACUUGCCAAGGAACUCAACAAUAAGCGCCUGCACAUUAACAGAUGUGAAGCCAAUAACAGAUCUAGAUCAAUUCAGCUCCAUAUAAACAGCUAUAGGGCCCAGUAACAGAUAUAGUAAGGAGGAAUUAUUACGGUGGGUUUUCUACCUGCAGUACAACUGUUAUGGCAACAAUGGCCAUAAAGAGAUGGUUCCCAGUAAUGCCCUUGAAUAUGUUCAGCUCAUCGGGCUUCCUAGCAUUGAAUUCAUUGAACACCUGAGGAUGAAAGUAUUAUGUUUUUUUUUUACGUGAGAAGGUAGACCAUUUCAUUGAUAUAAAUGGAUGUAAGCUACAUGAGGAAACUGGGGGGCGGGGGAGGGGGGUGGUUAAAAGAGAAAUAGUAAAACAGUGGUAACUCACCUGACAGAGAACAAAUGUAUUGAAUAUGAAGGUAUUUUUGACUUUGUCUGCAUGUGCCUGGUUGUCGUUUUUUAGCUGCAAAAGGCUUGUGCCCCUAAAGUUGAGAGUAAGGAGGACUAUAACUUGAAACAGAGCCUGAAGGAAGAACAGAUGGUCAAUUGAAAGCGUUUGAGAUAUUUAAAUUCAAAUUGGAAUACACAACAGUACCAUACCAUUAUGAUUAAGUUUCUCCACAUGACAUUUGUUAUCAAGGGUUCCCUGAAAACAAGGUAACAAGGUUAGGACAGCUUCAGCAUGCAGAAACAAAAAACUCUGUUUGAAUUGCACAUUGAAAGGUAUUAGCAAUUCCUGGCACAAAUGGACAUAUAAAGUAUCACACAGCUAACAGUACAGUACUACCUAAAAGUCAACAGCACCAUCUAUUCAAUAACGGAGGUAGUAUGAAAUAGACAUGAUUAUACAGAUUAUAUUAGAUCAACUGAGUAUGAUAACGACAUAAAAUCAUGAUCAAACAGCCUUUAUAAAUAUCUCAUAUUUCCUGGUCUACAUGAGAUUAAACAGUUGUCUGUGUAAAUUAGUUCAGGACAUUAGGCCAAGAGCUCAUUAUUCAUUUCGAUCGGGUCCUGUUCCUUUAAAUGAAAUCUCAAAAAAAUUAUCUCCAGAAACCAAGCAAGACAGUUGUCCAGCAAGAACACAGAGAACAAACCUUCUGCCAACUGGUGGUCUCUGCAUAAGAUGGUCAGUAGGUGGUUCUGUCGCCAGUGCAAGAGCACCCAGAGUAUCCAUGAUUAGGUUAACCCACAGUAGCUGCCAGCCAACAAGCCCAAGCAAAAGAGAGAGAAUAUUAACCAUAACUUCCGUGUUAUCUAUCAGUAACAAACAGAGUAUGAGCUCAAACCUGAACAGCGUUCAGGGGAACAUUCCCAGAACUGACAGCAGCAACAACGUUAAUAAUCAAGGCUGCAACGUUGACGGUUAACUGAAACUGUAUAAAUUUCUGAAUGUUUGCAUAAACCGAGCGACCCCAUCUGACAACCUAAAAGCGAGAGAAAAGAAUACUAUAAGUUGCAGUCAUGGAAGGCCAAUAACAGAACACAGUGUACAUACCCUCACGACCGAUGCAAAAUUGUCAUCCAAGAUGAUAAUAUCAGAACUCUCCUUGGCAACUUCAGUUCCCUGGAUGCCCAUGGAGAGACCUAUAUCUGCCUAUUAAGUUCAGCAUUGCAUAAGAAAGACUGGAUUAUGGUUGUUGAACAUGAAGAUUGUUUCUUUCAAAACAUGAUGGAACAUUAGUCGAGAGAUAAACCUCAUGCAAAGCUGGGGCAUCAUUUGUGCCAUCUCCAGUCACAGCAACAACAUGACCUCUUUUUCUUAAUGCUUUAACAAGUAAAAGCUUGUCAUUUGGUGAAGACCUCCCCAUCACCUGUAACCAUUUACAUAGGGUAUAUUUAAUUGUCGAGGUGAAGAUAGACAACAUAUACUGAACAAAAACCGACCUGGUAUAAACUAGGCACUUGAAUGCAUCUAUUCAAGAUAACAGACUAUUGAUGUAUGCACAAGCAUAACACAAUAAACAUACUCUCCAACAAAUUAAUAGUUCAAUAUGAUUUGGAGAGUUAUGUUAUAAUUAGUUGGAUAAGGUGAUUGCAUAUGUUUAUUCCUCAGAAAGACAAUGAUACAAGUCAAAAAGUUCCAAUACAGGACCAGGAGGGUCUAAUGUUACGUUAUCAAGAGCCUUAGCCUGCAUGUGAACAUGUGCCAACUUUUUUCCAAAAUGAACCAAGGUCUGUGCAUAAUCUUUGUACAUAUUGUUUCUACUCGUCUGUAAAUGUAUAGGAGAAGCCUCUCCUAUGGAUUACCUUUAGAAAAAAAGAAGCUGCUACAUUGUAAACAAUACACACAACCCGCUGUUUAUUUAAAAAAAUGGGAUCAACCUAGGAGGUUUCGAACUUGGGUGGUCUAAACAUACACCACAACAUCAACCAACUAAACUAGGUUCAGUUCCUCAACCCACUAUUUAUUAUCAACGCAGGCAAAUUAGAAAUGUGUCCUUUAUUCGACACAGCUCAUGCAAAUCAUCCGCAUUACUCAUGGCAACUUUUCUUGUUUGCCAUGUCAUACAUCUCCUUCCAAAUUCAUUGUCCAUGAUCAUGGAAAAUGAGAAAGGUUAGCAAGAGACAAUAGCUUACCAGUUAUCAGAAAGUUGGGUGUUGAUAGAGCAACAUUUCAGGGUAUUUUGUGGCUACUACUACAUUAUAUGCUUGCAGCAGUUUAAAAAUACGGUGUUAACAGUGGAGGGUACAGAAAUGUAGGAAAAACAGUCAUACCGAAAUCUUUUCUGCAGCUUCUUCCCUUUCUAAAUCUGACAGUGCACGAAAAGCCUUUCCUUCAAUAAUGACUGGCUCUGACACAUUGGGAUCAGAUAAAAUUCCACACUCCAAGGCAAUGGCUCUGGCAGUUUGAAGGUUGUCUCCAGUAACCAUGCGGACCUAACAAUCCAAAAAGAAAUUGAAUGUAACUUAUCAGAUUUAUAGCUAACAUCCCCUGAAGAAGCGAAGUUAAGUAACACAUCUCUUCUACGUUUUAGUUACUAAGAGAUAGCAGAAAGUAAUAUUACCACUGACUCACAGAGCAGGAUUACCACAACGCAACAUUACCUUAAUGCCAGCUGCUGCACAUAACCGAACAGAAUCUUUAACACCCGGGCGGCAAGGAUCCUGUGAAGCAAUCAAACAAACCAAUCAGCAAGUACUUCCAAAUUAUAGCAGUUCUACAAGUUUUGCUAGUUUCCAGCACAUGGCACAAUUGGUAGCAUGCUAAAGUAGUCUGAAAGAUCUGUUAUUAACAGAUUGUCAUUAUCCAGUACAAGAUUGAGUUAGGUAGACGGCUGUGUGUGUGUGUGUGACAGCUGCAAACACAAAUUCUCUGAAACCUCAAGCAGAUUACUCAAGUGCUUCAUGUUGAGCCAUCAGUAGUGUUUCAUGGUUUAUCUCUUGGGUCAGCUGCCUGUUGUGCUGUUUCCCAGGACUCUGGUCAGUGACUGUUUGGCAUAAAAGCGCAUGUCUGGAAACUUAACUCCCUACAGCUAGUUGUAAUCCAUCCCGUGUAUUCAAUCAGAAAACAAGAUGGCAAUCAUAAAUGCAGUUAGUAAUUACAGAGUAGUAUCACAGUAUGGUGCUGCCAGAACAAGUAAAACUUCUACAGUGGUCGUGGUGUAGCACUUUUUCAAAGGGUUCAUGGUUGCCGUUUGCACCUGUACUUGUGAGCUCUGACUACUAGUAACUAUCCAACCCAAUACCGACAGUGUAUUAUUUGACAAAUUGGCUACAGGGAACAGAAAAACCAUGAAGCAUGCAGUCAUAGGAGACAAAGAAACGGCACAUCUAAUCAGAGUUAUGCAGUGAGUAUACGAGGAAUUGCAAUACAGCUCGUGCAGGAGAAAUGGAAGGCACAACUACCAAAAUAAUUACUUCAACUGCAGAGUAAAAUGUACAUUCGCAACUAACCUUUAUCCCAACUAUGCCAAGCAUAAUCAAGUCAUCUUCAGGCAAUAUCCAAUCAGCCCUCCGGUCCUCACUUGGGACAUCAACCAUCUCAUAUGUUCUAUAAGCAAAGGCAACACACCGGAGGCUCGAAGCAGCCAUAUCUUCUAUGAAUUUCUUGAAUUCACUAAUCUGAAGCAACUAAUUGUCACCAACAAAACCAUAAUAUGAAAAUAAGUGAAUUACAAAAGAUUGAAUGGAUAUUUACUUUCUCAGGUGUCAUUGAAUGCUUUGAACCAUCUGCAGCAAGCCAGCUUUUGCAUGAAUCCAAAAUAAUUUCUGCAGCUCCCUUCCAGUGUAUGUGUACCUCAGACUCAGAGCCACCCUCCAGAAAUAUAAAGAAGAGCAUUAAUAAAUCUUGAAAUGAACAGAGAAAAGUAAUGGAGUGAAUCAAACAAAACAUACUGACAAGCUAACAGAACAUUUAUAUCUGCUUAUGGUCAAACUUCUGUGAAAUUUUUUCGAGCCUUCAAUGCAAGAAUGCAAAUGCUUAGGCGUAAUUCCAGGUAAUAAUUAGAUAUAUAAACUUGACAGAUAUAUACUAGGUAAAACAAACAUGAAAAUGUGGAUAAGAAAGUAUGCUGCAAAAAGGGAACUGUUUCCAAAAUGUCAACAAUUUAACUAACUAGGACAACAUAAUUGUCAAUAGUUGACUAGGCAUGCCAAUAGUUGACUAGGCAUGCCAUUUUACAUGGUAAUGUACCAUACACAAUAAGAAAAAAAAUAGGGGAAGGGGUCUGUCAAAGUUGCAGAUAUUAUGAAUUACCAGAUGCACUGCAACCCCGCCUCUUUUUUUCUCUGAGUUGAAUGGGAAAACAUGAAGAAUAGAGGACUUUGUUCUUGUGUCAUUGAAUCUCAUGCCAAGCUGUGGAAAUAUGAAGAGCAUGGUCACCAAACAGAAGGCAUACAAAAAAUCUAGAAUCUGUGAUUCAGCUACUAAAAUAGGAUUGUAUGUGUACCUUCAGCCCCCAAGACAGUAUAGCCUUUUCGGUCGGUGAUCCAGUCACCUCUGGAUCUUGACCAUUCUGCAGAGGUAAUUGAAUUUAAGCCACUAGUCACCAAUUUAAUCGAGAACAUGACAGAAAACAAGUGUUUGGUCUCAUGGACAGUAAAAGGUUCUUGUUACAUAACCACAAAGUUGGGAUGAUCGGGUGAACACCAACAGGAAUUAGAGCAAGAGGGGCAAAUGGAAUGCAACAAGAUGCACAGACAAACAAAUGCAGAAGUGCUAUAAAAGUAUAAGUGUAACCUCGGGCUCAAAUAUGCUUCCAGACGUAUUCUGAGCAAUUCCUUCGACAAUCAAUGAUGAGAUUGAAGCAGAUAACACCUGAACAUUAUCUGGAGGAUCCAUUUUCUUUCCACCAAAGUAAGCCUCCACAACAGUCAUCUUAAAAUUGACAAGAAAUAGGGAAUAAGUCGUGGCUGAGCAAAUUUCUGGAAUCAUGGAUCAUCUUUGUAUCCACCGAAGUGCACAACAUUGAGAAUAUGACAACAGCACCCAACCUGAUUCAAAGUCAGCGUUCCUGUCUUGUCGCUGCAAAUUGUUGUGGCUGAACCCAUAGUUUCACAUGCAGAGAGCCUCCUGACCUAUAAGCAUUAACCCACUCAAGAGAAUGCAUUUUGCAGGAAUAACAAGCAAGCACAAUACCAACAAGCGAGCAUACCAGAGCUUUGUCCCUCAUCAUCUUGCGCAUAGAGAAGGCAAGCCUGACACAGAUAAGUACAGGUAUUAGGUUGCUGAUAAGGGUGCAAAGUAAAAUACAUUAUCAAAUCACACUUACGUCAACGUGACGGCCAAUGGUAACCCUUCAGGAACAGCCACGACAACAAUUGUUACCUAGUUACAUCUCAAGUUGGUAAGAUAACAGAAAAUGGAAACACCAAAGCAUCAGACAUGUACAAUAGAGUCUACACCUACCGCCACUGUAAAUAUUCCUACUAUUCCUCGUAUUGUCUGGCCUACACCCAUUUUUCCUUUCACAUAUUGCACUGACCCAUCAGGGUUAUAGGUAUGCCCAGUGAAGUACCUACAGGAAAACAAAGCGACACAUAUAAAUAAAUAGACAUUUUGUUAAAACAAAUAUAAGCAAACUCUACCUGGCCAGAAGGACAACAAGAACGGCGAGAGCAACAGAAAGUCCAACCAUUCCAAUGAAGGUGGCAACACCGUUCAAGCGAACCUACUCCAGAACAAUAAAUUCAUGUCAACUCAUGAACUCGUGCAAAAGUCAACAAGUUAAAAAAUCAAACCUGCAAAGGUGUUUCUUCACCAGAAUCUUCAGAAAUGCUUGCCAUUAGCAGUCCCCAUUCAGUGUUAAUGCCAACUGCGGUCACCUGAGCAUUUAAGAAUUUAUGCAUAUUUGAGAUAGAUCAAAUUGUAAAACCAUGUAACUCAUCAGUAAUCAAUGUUGAUGCUACUACAAUUUUACUACUUCAUAAUGUACAUAUAUUUAGAAGGUGAAAGUAGCUGUGCAUCCCCUCCAUUGAGGCAUUGAGUACGCAGACAGUAAACAGAAAACUCACCAGCAUAGUGCCAUACCCGUCAGCAACUUUACAACCAGACAUUAGGAAUGGUGAUUUCUGAUCUUUGUGAACCUUCAAUUAACCAAAACUUUGCAGUGUGAGCUUAACACCUAAACCAUAUUAGUUCCAAAUUAACCAAGGAACUCACAAUUUUACUCUCUCCGGUCAUGCUGGAUUCAUCUACGGACAGGGAGUGACCACUGAUAAGGAUCCCAUCAGCGGGGACCUGGCAAACAAAUUAUAAUUAUCCACAAUUUAUAUUGGCAAACAAAUGGUUCAAAUGACAAGCUCGAUAGACUAUGCACCUGGUCACCAAUUUUAAGUGGCACAACAUCACCAGCAACCAAAUCAUAAAUGGAUACCGAGAUUCGCCUUCCACCUCUAACCACCUGAAAGAAAAAUUGUCAGGUGUGAAUUAAGAAACAAAAGAAGUACUGAUUAAAAGUAUCUGGAAUUUAACAACCUCCAAUUUGAUGUUCUGCUUUUCCUCAUUAAGAUUUUGAAACUGUAAGGAUUGCUUGUAAUCGCUAGUUGCUGAAACAAAUGGCAAACGUUAGAAGCAAAUAGAUUUCAAUAGAUCGCAGAUAACUACAAAAAGUUUCAGGACACAUUUAUUUGAGUUGGCUGGACAAGUCCAAAGCACUACACAUAUUGUGUAAUUAGUCCAUACCAUCAACGGUUUAGCAUUCCCUACUUUAUGCCAGUAGGUGAGACAUUACUGACAGUAAUGCAACAGAUAAACCUUCUAAAAGUGGAUUAACAUAUUAAUCGACCAUAGAAAUAAUCAGGUAAGAUGAUUGAUCUAACUAAUUACAUACCUGUAACAACAACAACUAGGAGAACAGCAAAAGCAAUGCUUGCUCCAUCAUACCAGCCUUCUUUUAUCCCCUACACACAAAAAAGGAGUUAAUUAACUCCAAAAAUAAUGAAAGUUAUAGCUACAAACCAAAAAAAAAAACAGCGAUAAACAGUAAGUGGCAAAUGGCCAAGCAAACAUCAAAGGGAAAAGAAACAGGAUGGCAGCUAGACUUGCAAAUAUACAAAUGCUGGAUGAAACUGGACUAAAUUUAGUGGUUAAUGACACCAGGCAAAUAAUAAUAACAAUAGGGGGCAAACAAGUCAGUGAGACAGUAAGAGAUGAUAUUUGGUCAAUUCAGGAAGCAAAGAAUUGAGUAAUGAAAUCCUACCUCUGUUGUUAUGCCCAAAGCAAGUGAUACUGCUGCAGCAACCAUGAGAAUGAUAAGUGUCAAAUCUUUACAAGCAUCCCAUAAGAAAGCCUAAACAAAAGUGUCAGUACACCAAUAAUGAGCAUCAAAAAGGGAAAAAAUGCUAUACAAAUAUUAAAGAAUUCUCAGCAGUCAGCAUACCAGGAAGCUUCUUCCUUUCUUACGAGGGUAUGUAUUCGAUCCAAAUGCAUUUCGUCUUGCAGUCAAAUCUGAAUCAUCUCCACUAAUCCCCUUCUCUGUGUCUGUCUUUAGCAUGCGCGCUACCCCAGAAAUCUGUGGACGAAGUCACAAGGUGUAAACUGUUUUGCACAUACAUGUAAGGACAAUGGCACAAGAAAUACUCACCCCUCCAUACUGUUGUAGAGCAGAGUAAUUGUGAUCUCUGGUCAAUGCAGUAAGUUGGUCUUCUUUGAUACCAAAGCCCAGUGCACCAUCAACUGGCGGUGCUGCAAAGUCAAUAUUGUAGCAAACAUUGAGUAACAGCGAGAACAAAACAUACAACCCUUCCAUGGAUGUACUCUAAAUUCUUAUCGCUAUCAUAUAGCAACUGCGCUCCAGUAAAGCAUUCAUAGAUGUCCCACUUCUAGAAUAUAUGACCAUUGCAAACCACAGGCAACCAUAGUGACAAGAAAAUAAAGUUUAACAAGUUACACGAAACUCUGAUAUAUUAUCGUGCAGAACAUGAAAACUCUGAACCAAAUAUUGAAUAUGUAGAAAUAGAAAUAACACCUGCCACCUCCUUUUGCUGAACGUGGACUUGUCCUGCUUCUUUAAAGCGGAAUGCAGCCUGAAGAAGGAAAUCAAGACAUCAGCUGAAACUAAGGGAAAAAAAAACAAAAAAAAGUAAUGAUAUUCACCCUGACAACAUGAGCUUGUGCACGAAUUUUGCUUAUAACUUCCUCCCUUUGUUCCUCCCUUUUCAAGUCCAAUGUGUAUCUAAAGCGCCUGGAUGCAUUGAGUACUAGAGCUGCUUGCUGCAAUAGAAAGAAGGGUGGACAAUUAGAUACAAAAUACCAAAUACCAGUCAGUAAGCGUAAAACUUGAUUGAAGAAACAAUUAAAAUGAUGCUCUGCAGAGAAAAGAUCCAGCAGCUUAUGGUGACCAGCAAAGCACACAUCUCUCUUAUUUGCACGAAAGCAUAACAUUUUAUGGACAUGAAUAUAAUUAUCUUGACAUGUUUUCUGAAGAGAUAGAUACACUCAGGUAUGCAAAUCCCUGCGUCGACCCCUGAAGCAGCAGCCAGUACAAGACAUACUGCCAAAAACAAACUAAAUAUAAUCUGAACUUGAAAUUGAAAUUUUAACUACUGUUUUUUCGCAAAUUCAUGUUUAGGUAAAUUAUUGUAUUACAUAUGCCGGAGCUAUGAAAUUUUACAUAGCAGCAAUGCAAAAGUUUUGAGUCCAAAAUUCUGAAUUCAUAUACCAGCUAAAACAUCUGUGCUAAAUAGCCGCUUACUAAUUUCCCGAGGGACCGGUAUUCAGAACCUUGGAUACGACACCCAGCCCGAUAUGCAAAUACAAAGAUUAUGCCAGCAAUACAAUCUUUAGUACAGAAUGCACAGAUGUCAAAAGAUCGGCAAACUAAUAUUUGAUGUUGGAUAAAGAAACAAAACAAAAUCACCCGGAAAACCCAAUUGCGAAGCAACAACUUGUGUGCAUGAGGCUCAAAGCUGGUACACAACAGGGGCGAGUCCAGCUACAUUCAUUUGUUUCAAACAUGUCCAGCGCUCCAGGCUUCCAGCUAAUUCCACCACCUCUAUUAAAUAUCGUGAAUGAGAUGCAACAGGGCCCAGUUAUAGUUAUUAAAAGAGGACACAGAAAAUAUGGAGGAAUCAUUAAAGAAUAAUAACGAUUGUUUCGUCCUUAUGAGGGUAUUUGGAGUCCUGGAGUAACUUAACAAAGUACAUACACAGUUGUGAUCUAUAAACAAUUGGCCCACCGAUUAGACUAGUUGGGUUAGUUUUUUAGGACGGAAAGCACAGGCGUAGGCUACAGAGUAGCAACAUACUACCAGCUCAACUUUGCUACGAUUAGCCGCGUGGCGCCCUAGAACAUUCUCAUCACAAAGAAAGAGCUAAACCAUAUCCAUCUUAGGAAAUGUUAAAGCGCCCACAGGUGGAAAAGCUCAAGAGAAGCGAUCCAAAUUUAACGAAAGUCCAGGCGCUUAAAAAGCAGAGAACAAUACAAAAGUAUUCGUGUUGAACAAAGCAAGUGAAAGCCCGAACAAAUUCGUGUUGAACAAAUCUGACGGCAUAGUCCGUUACUGGAAAGGUGUGUGUUCAGAAUCAAAUCUGAACAGAUGUGUUGGUUGCUUUUGCACUCAUCAGGGGUCCCACGGGAAAUCGGAUCGACGAUGCGAAGAAAAAAUGCAACUAGCUUGAUGGGUCGCGCACUCAGAACAGUGAAAUUUUCACACGAGGUAUAUGAACGAAUUCGUCGAAAAUUAUGGGGUAAUAUCUCAUCAAAACGAUAGUGAAGCUAGAAACUCCCAAAUCUAAUCUGAAGUGAAAGCGUUAAAAGGGAGAAAAGUAAAAAAAAAACAUUAAAAAGGAGAAACACUGAACCGUCCACCGAUGCAAUCUCCGCUCAAAUGUCGAGAGUCGAGACAAAAUCACGGGAAGCCAGAUCACAUGCACAUGAUAUCUCACUCACCAAGUCUUCCUUAAAUAAUUACUCCAUAUUUUCCGGGAAAAAAAAUGACCGACCCAGCGAGACGUUCGAAUUUAAACCACGGACAAAUUUAACAUUCGUCUAAACACGAAAAAUCGGAGGCGAACAAUGACAGCCUUGCGCGUAGCGUAGACACCUGUAUUCGAAGACAAGCAGCCGCCUCGGCGGUUCAAAUUCUCAACCAAAAUUCAACCGGUUCAGAGAAACUAAACUGGGUUUCGCUAAAAAAAAAAUACAAACGAGCCCUAAACUGCUCCAAAACCGCUCAUCGCGAAGCCAAAUCUGCGAAAAAAAAAAAACCACCAGUAUCCACUACCAACAUCACCGGAGCUGCGCAAGCAUAACAUCAAAAUCUAGCUGAAAAAAAAAACAACAACUACAGCUGAGAGCCGGCGGGUGCGGCUUACCCGCCAUUUUUUGAGACUCUCGACGGGAGCACCCUUAGCCGGGAUGUCGAACGGGUCGGCGGCGGAGCCGAUGCUGCCCCAGCUACCGCCGCCGCCGCCGCUGCUGCUGCGGCGCCGCCCGCUGGUCGCUAGUGAAGACGACGCGGACUCCAUGUCCGCCGCGGUAGCUCGCAGGAGAGAUGACACCGACCCGGCGACGAGAAAACCCUAGAAGAGCUCACCACGCGCGGCGCGCGGCCGCCGCUUCACUUGCGGAGAGGUGGGGAGAGAGAGAGAGAGAGAGAGGCAGUCUGGCCGCGGAGGAGAGGAGCGAAUGCCCUGUGUUGCUUUUGGGGGGGAGGAGAAGGCCUGUUUUUUUUUUCUUUUUUGACACGGAGAUCGGUUACCAAGCGAAAAAAAAGGGAAACGAGGAAUUCGUAGAAGGCACAAAAAAGAUUUUUGGAUUUUGCGUAAAAGGUAUUUUGGGAAAUUACACGCGGCCAGUGCCAGGUACAGGCCAGGUGUUCUUUGUUGGGAUGUGCCACUGCUGCUCACUGGUUAGUGGGCCAAACAAGCUGAAAUAUUUUAAUUGCAACAAAAUUUAAACAUAAUCAGUAAUUUUUUUCUGCUCUAUCGAUAUGACUUCGAGUUGUCUAUUGCGAGUCAUUAAAAAAAACUAUAGAAUUCCACUAUCUAUAGAGUCCCGAGUAUUCUCAUUGUGACCAAUAUUUGGCAUCAUUUCUUAUUUGUAGGUCAAGUUGCAUAUAAUUACUUCUAAAUAUGUAUUUGUACAUCUCCCUAUAAAUUGUCCAUCUACUUUCGUGAUAUUGGUGGUGGAUGGUGAUAAACUAUUAUUGGUGUUUAUAGAUUUAUUUGAUUUGUUGUGAAAAAUUUGGCAAGCUAAUAUUUUUCCAAAACUCAACCCAAGGUUUAUAGUAACUUUAUCAAAAAACUGCUAGCAAACCUUUCUUGCCCGACUUUUGCAAUUGCCAAAGUUGGGUAGUGUUUCUUUUGGCAUAAAGUGGACGAGUCGCGAAAUUCAGAAAUUUCUUAUGACAAUUGUAUUAUUUUUCAUUGUUUUAAACAUGGUAUGCUAUGGUGGCAAUGGCACAUUCCAAGUGAGUAUUCUCUCCGUCCUAAAAUAUAAGUGAUUUUGGACGAAUGAGACACAAUCUAGUACAACAAAUCUGGAGAGGGAGUCUGUCCAGAUUAGUACAAUGAAUCUAGACACAAGUCUAUCUAGAUACGUUGCACUAGUAUGUGUCGCAUAUAAUCAAAAUACCUUAUAUUUGGAAUGUAGGGAGUAGUAAUGCUGUAAAAAAAGCUAAUUUUAACUACAGGAGUGAAUAUCAAAAAAGGCAAAAAAAAAAGGGUUAAAUAUUAGGAAAGCCUGCAGAGGAGUAGCUAGCUAGGAAAGCUGUCCAAAUACCGUGUGUGGGCUUUGUAGGAUUGAUCUUGUUACGUGAACGAUGUAACGAAAACGAAUUUCGAAUUUUAUGAUAACAAUAGCGUGAAUAGCUAAUGCGGUCCCUGAAGUUUCGCUUCAGGCUCAGCUUAGUCCUUGAGAUUUUAAAUAAUCCAAACAAGUUCUCCAAAUUAAUCAUUUGGUUUAAUAUAGUCCUUGGACCCAUAAAAAGUGACAUGCAAGCACGCCAAAUCAUCCUCGCAUACAGAGGUAUGAAUGAAAUGGACCAUUCUACCCUUAUAUACCAUAUAUAAAAGAAAGAAAAAAACAAGAUAAAUGUUUCACAUGUGUAUGAUCGUUUUAGAAUUGUCACUUAUGAUUGUUGUAGCCAAGCAUUGAUCGUGUAAUUCCUUUGUCGGCCACCCAUCCGUAACAAUGCUAGGCCUGGGCUGGCCUAUUAUUUUUCUGUGUCUUUUCUUUCUUUUUUCUAUAUGGUAUAUAAAGGUAGAAUGGUCAUUUUAUUCAUACCGCUGCAUGCGAUGAUAACUUGGCGUGCUCACGUGGCACUUUUUUGGGUCCAAGGACUAUAUUAACCCAAAUAAUUAAUUUGGAUGACUCGUUUGGACGAUUUGAAACAUCGAGGACUAAAUUGAGCCCGAAGCAAAACUUUAGGGACCAUACUGACUAUUCACCCAUAACAAUACUUCAAACAUUAAUGAUCAGAUGACUGACAAAAAGAAGGAAAAGUGUGGUAAAUUUCAUAUUUGAAAUUCGAAAUGAAUAAAUGAUAUUAGCUCAAAUAAGAAGAUCGCGCCAUUUUAAUAGAACGGAUUAUCCGGAAUCGCAGCAACGACUUAAGCUGAGGUAACCCGAAUGGAAAUUCUGAACUGGAGGGGUGUAAUUAUCGCGCCGUUUCGAAUAAUCCGGUGAAUCAGCAGGCGUACCGGGUCGCCUCCCGUACGUUACCACACUGAUGCGCUGGAUCUAUUCGAACUUUUUUUUUUUUUGAACUUUACUCGACCUUAGGCCCCGUUUGGCACAGCUCCAGCUCCCAACUCCAACUUACCUAGAGCUGGAGCUGUGCCAAACGGUACAAAUUCUUUGUUUUUUGGAGCGGAGUUGGCAGAGCAGCUCCACAAAUUUGUACUACGGGGGUGGAGCUGGGUUUUUGCUGCUCCACAGCUCCACUCCACCCCAAAAGACCCACUAACCUUUAAAAUUUUGAUGUAUUUACACAGAAAUGCCAUUGAACUACCCCUAAACUCCUCCUCCUCCUCCCAUCCUCUCUCUCCUCUCCCAUCUUCUCCGGCAAAAUUCGACGGCAACCGGCGGCGGGCAGGCUGGCGGCGGCGGAGCACGGGCUCGGCGGCGGUGUGCGGGCUAGCGGCGGCGCGCGGGCUCGGCGGAGGCGUGCGAGGUCGGCAGCGCGGGGGCUGGCCGACGGUGCGCGGGCUCGGCGGCGACGCGGGGGCUGGUCGGCGGGCGGCGGCGCAGGGGCUAGCCGGCAGCGCGCGACCUGGCGGCGGCGCGGGGGCUGGCCGGCGGCGCGCGGGCUCGGGGGCAGCGCGUGGGCUUGGCGGCGGCGCGGGGGCUGGCCGGCUGGCGGCGGCGCGAGGGCUGGCCGGCUGACGGCGGCGUGCCGCUUGGCGGCGGGGAUUCCUUUUUUUUUCUUUUUUUUUCAGAUCUGGAGCUAAAAGUUUGCCAAACACUUUUGAUGGGUCUGUAACUCCAAUAGGAGCUAGCUCCAACUGGAGUAGGAGUUUGGAGCUGGGAGUUGGAGUUUGGAGCCCUACCAAACGGGGCCUUAAUUAGAGUUGAAGAAAUAAUCAUGCAUUGUUCGUGACGCUGUUCCAUGUGGCCCCUCGUGAGGCAUCCAUCAUGCACGCGGGGGCCAACGUGGCAGAUGAACUCUAUCGACGAAUUUUUCGAUCGAUCGGCCAACGCACACUCGCUUGCGGAAUCGAAGAGAAACGAAGCAUAACAUGCUUCACCACCGUGGAUGACUAAUUAGUUAGUGUGUGCCCAUGAUCCCACUACGACUUUGAUCGAACAGAAUCAUGAGAGUGAUCAUACAAAAAAAAAAUCAUCAGAGAAAUUAAUACUACCAGCUAACAACAACCUGAGAGAGAAGUAGUGCUAGUUUGGCAAGAACAAUGCCAGUUGCCACGCUCGGAAACGGGAAAUGCAUGGAUUUUUUCGAUCUUGUUACAAGCAAGAACGUACAGGAUUUCGUUUGGAACACUUGCAACUUUUUUUGCAUGUAAAAGUUUAAAGUGUAAAAUGUAUCUGAAACUGCCUAGCCAAUAGGAGCCUAAAACGGCCAAAAGCUGGGCCCUGGACAAGUUCCCACGGAAAGGAAGCGUGCCAUGCAUGUGGCUUUGCUCAGCUGCUUUCGAGAUUGGCCGACAGCUACACGUAUGCUCCUAAAGCUAUCUGUUGCGUAUCCUUGAUCUUUGUGGCACCCUAUACGUGUGUAAGCUGUGUGUAAGCAUUGAGCAAAUUUCCGUCUCGGUUUCAUCUUCCAUGGCGCUUUUCUCUCAUCCAUGUAUGUAAUGCUGCCACGGAAGUCAUGUGAUCGUUUUCCUUUCGGUUGCCGUUAACCUUCGAUUUCUAAAAAAACAGCACACUUGAGACCGUGAGAGAGACUGGAGAGAGUAUCAACUGGGUGUUCUUCUUUUCUUUCAGUGACGGGGAUUCAGAUCGAAAGCAGUAGCUGAAAUCAAACCGGCCUAAAGCCGCGGAGAACAGAUCAAGCAAAGGAAAUAGUAGUUGCAACAGAUCAAGAUCGAGGCCAAAGAAAGCUGGUUCGGCUACAUAAGCAUAUCACAAGUGUCUGAUCAACUUGGCACGGAAGGAAAGCACAAGCCCCAGGUCGAAGCAAUGUACUGUAGCACACUAGUUGGUAAAAUAAUCGUGCUUUAAUUUGCUUUCGAUCGGGUCUGAUCGAUGGUAAAUAUUCGAUGGCAUGACAUGAGAGAUCACCAUCUAAGAUAUGAUACCACUACGAUAGGGCAUAUAUAUAUAUAUAUAUAUAUAUAUAUAUAUAUAUAUAUAUAUCUUUACUCUUUUUUCCCAUCAAACCACACGUUGCGAUCGUUAAGAACAUCGUAAACUGAUAGGCAACAAGCCAUGAAGAACAGUGGUUUCUGAGACAUGUCAAAAAGGAGCACGGGUAUACAUAUACGAUAAAUCUGUUACAAUUGAGCACCUUUCAAUCUCUCAUUGCAUGUGGCAAAUAUAGGGUCCAACAUAUUUUCGUUGUUCAAUUGAUGAUCAUACCAUAUUGGAUCGUAUCAAAAUCGUACAAACUUUAUCAUACUCACAGCAAUUUUCGUCAAAAAGGAAAAAGGAAUGUAUUGAGAAAUCAGCGCCACAUUGCCACUAGCCGUGCAUUAUCCUGAUUCUUCUACAGAGGAAUGGGCGAAUGAUACACAUAAGCUUUGCUUUGAUCGAUUCCUGGCGGCGUGGCUAGCAAAAGAACUACCACAUGGAAACGAUUGACAACGUGCGGAGGUCACGAAUAAGUGAAAAAAACGGGUGUAAAGGAUCGUCGAAACUGACUGAUGUACACAAUAGCACAAUCGUCAUCAAUCUGAUUCAUUAAUUAAUAGCUUUAGAAUGGCCCGGAAGCGAUCCGGUUAGCUUUUUGUUGGGAUCGGACUACUAUACAAUUUCGAUCACUCGCGAUCAUGAAGCGAAGAAUGUCUAGUUCCUGACGUAUUCUCGCGAUCUCAGGAGUAGCAAAGGCUCCCAUCGGUUGCCAUUUUACCCAAAAUGGCUUAUUUGGCUUAUUAGAAAAUUAAAAUUAAUUUAUAAGUAAAACUUUUGUAGAUUUGUUCGUAGCGACUUAAAAGCCAACAUUAACAAAAAUUACGUUAAAAGCAUUUCAAAAUCAACUUCAAAAUCAAGUUCAAAAAUUCAAAUUUUGGCUUAUUCUUUGGCUGUUUAGGCCAAACGAUGGGGCUGUUUAUAAUGCUGACAGGUAGCCAAACAUUGUUGGAUUCGAAUCAGCGAUCGUUUUUGGAUGCGUACGUGUGCCUGUUUUAACCACUGCUAUUAAACUAAGAUCGCGUGCCGAGGUGACACAAGUACGUGGCAGCAACAGCUGGCACUGAGCCAUGCAUGCUGAUCGUUACGUGGCAUUUCGGUUGGUGAUCGAACAGAAGUGAGAACUGAUGAAAAGUCCAGCGUGGACGGUGUCGACGAGCCGAAAGUGGAGUAUAAUCCAGGGCUAGUUUAGAUUGUAGCCAAAAUAAAGCUUAUUAAAUUUUAGCAUCGUCAAAAUAUUAGUAAGAUAGUAAUAUUGUUAAAAUUUUAGCAUGAGGUUUUUAUGUAUUUACUAAAUUUAGAAAAAAAAACGUAGAUAUUUUUUUGUAAUUUUAAAAAAAAUAAUAUGGUUAAAAAUAGCAUCAAAGUGAACAGGACCCACGUUGAUUUGACAAAUGGUGUGGAUAUAUGACUAGCGAACGGCGUUUGUAUUCUCCUCCUUUCCGAUUUCUGUCGCUAUUACAACAAAGCCACAAAGAGGAUUUAAGAAAUUAUGUACAAUUUGAACCCUAUUUGACGGAGCGUGGGGCUCCUCACCGGGAGACCGCGCCGGCCCCCCUUUGCCGGUUCGGCCGGGGACCCUGGGUGAAAUUCUAAGCUCCUAAUCUGUGGAAGGUUCACGAGAAUGGAAAAAACACAAGACACGGGCGAUGUAUACAGGUUCGGGCCGCUGAGAAGCGUAAUACCCUACUCCUGUGUUCUGGUGAAUCUGUGUAUGAAGAAGCUACAAAGAGCUGGAGAGCUAGAGAACUCUAACUCCCUCCUUCCUUUCUCGUUCCGAAUCCCCCCUCUAAGUGGGCAAGGUCCUCCUUUUAUACCUCAAGGGGAUACCACAUGCACCAUCUCUCUCUUUUGUGUGGGGACUUAUCCUAUCUUUCCUCCAACUUGACUUGCCUUCUCUUCAUGAAUGGACGGAGAUUUGUAUGGUUGCCGUCCGAAUGACCUUCUGAUGGGACGGCCCAUACCUACCUCCACUUCCGCCGGAAGCAGGCGCGACGUGGGAACAUGGCUGUCUACUGACGACAUGACCAGUGUCAGACCGGUCACAAAUCGGUCAUUCUUGUCCACCACGUGUUAGUUUAGCAAUCUGCAUGUUCGCCCUUCUUCAUACAACAUCUUGCUUGUAAUGGUUAGGAUGAAGCCUGGCAUAUAUCUGACCGGGACCAACGUGCCAUCUCCAGGAGGUAACACGCCGGCUUCGGCUAGGGACGAGUGCUUGGAGGCUCUCAUCCUGACGGGAUGGGGCGAGGCGUGUGUCAGACCGCUUGUCGCCACCUAACCCACGAUCUGAUCGGUCUGUGACUGGUCACAGACCGGAUAAACGAGCGCGCUGCACUGCGUUACAUGCGGCGUGAC